rnacentral:lncRNA from 1 species
CUAUUCACAGGGGUGGUGGUCAGGUCAUUCCCACGGCCAGGAGGGUCAUUUAUGCUUCUCAGCUGACUGCCAAGCCAAGGCUGCUGGAGCCUGUGUACCUGGUUGAAAUCCAGGCCCCGGAGAAUGCGCUUGGUGGCAUCUAUGGUGUUCUGAAUCAGAAGAGAGGGCACGUGUUCGAGGAGAUGCAGAGGCAAGGUACCCCGCUCUACAACAUCAAGGCCUACCUCCCCGUCAUCGAGUCCUUUGGGUUCUCAAGCACCCUGAGGGCUGCGACGUCCGGCCAGGCCUUCCCCCAGUGUGUGUUUGACCACUGGGACAUCAUGGCUUCCGAUCCUUUGGACCCCGGCACCCAGUCUGCGACGCUCGUCACGGAGAUCCGCAAGAGGAAGGGGCUCAAGGAGCAGAUGACCCCUCUAUCCGAUUUCGAAGACAAGCUCUAAAUUUUUGGUGCUGUUAUCCCUUACCUGGUCUUGUGUUGUUAAAGAGAGCCGCACUAUUUUGUAUCGAUGAGUCUUGCUGUUAAUGACCUAUUUGUCGUGAUACUGGGAACUAUGUUUUGAGAUGUCUGGUGAUGUAACGGAUGUUUUACUUAGAUUAUGUAUCUGUUGUCCACUGGUUCUUUUGCUCUUGUGUUUGAUCUUUAGAUUUGCCUGAUUCUUCGUCGAUAUAAUCUUGCUUUCUCAUGAAAAAGUUGCAUCUUCUGAUCAGUGGUCACUAUUCUCGUUCGUUGACAGUUAAGAAACUGUUUUGUUUGCAUUAUUUUUGCCUGCUCUUAUUAUUAUUUCCUUGUGCACUAGCCUCCACCCUAUGUUCCUCAGCAGCGUGUUUUAUGCCCUUCUUAUUACAGGCACUUCAUGGUUGUUUAAAUUUGUAGCAAAAGAUGUGUUCAUGAAAGUAGAGGCUGCUCUCUAUAAUUUCCUGUAUCCGAGCAUGCAGCUUCUUUCCUCUAGGAUUGCCGUUCUGCCGGUCUCCCUGCCCCCUUGCGAGUCCCUCCCCUUGUGGCCUCCAUCUCCCUUGCUGCCGGUAGCCAUGGUGUUCGUGUUCGGUGGAAUGGUGCUUUGAAUUCUAGGUGAAGUUUUCUCCACGGUCACUAAGGUGCCUCCCAGAUCUGGUGGUCUCAUCGGUGGGGCAUCUUCUUCUCUCCCUUGGGGCCAUGCAGGUGGCAAAGAGGUUGAGAAAAAGUUUACCUCCGGCGAGGGAUACUUUGGCGCCCCCUUGCCGGUUCCAUGGCGAAGCUUAGACCCGUCUGAUUUGGUGGAUAAGAAGAUGAGGAGAAGGGAGAUGGAAGCUGCAAAUGAGGUUGGUGUUCUUUAUCGAGGUCUUUGUGGCAGAGCUACGAUGCACGCCGGCUGCCACCCUCCACCGCCUCGCAAUCGACUCUUCCAGCUGAAGGGCGACCACUCUUAGUCCUUUUGGCCUUGAUGCUUAGGGGGAGGUAGUGCAACUCUGACCAGGUGUGGCGGUAUCAAUGGUCUCAUUCUUAGGCAUGCGUCUCUGCGAAAAUAGGGCUAUGGAGGCCCCGUCGUCCCAAGUGGCGUAGUCCCCGAUGAUGGUGAGAUUGGAACCAUGAAGGAGUUGUUUUGCACCCAAUCGUGUUUUCUCUUCUUUGUCUGGGGUCCUCUUUGCAGUCACUGACUAAGUUGAAUUUUUGUUUCUCUUGAAGGCCUGAUGUAAAGUGUACACCGAUGCUUAUCUAAUGAAAAAGUCUUGAACCUUCGGAUCCUCUGUUAGAAAAAAAGAUACCGACUACCUGCUGAGCUUCACUGUACCAUAGAAAAAUGUGCAUACCUUCUCCGGACCAACUCUCGUGCGUACCUGACGCGUAUCGCUAACAUGUUUCCAAGUUGUUAAUGCCCACGUCGGCCUAGAACAACCCCUCUGCGUCAAAAGCUCCCUGGGUUGGCUUGGCUCCAACGUCGCCGACUCAUCCUCCCCAACUCCAAUGCGUCUUUCGCCGAGUGAUAAAGAAUGGUUUGGUGGGCGCCAAUCAUGAGAAAAAAAAUUGUUUGUUGCCGUGAGCGUCGAGUGUCGGCGGCCAGAGGAAGACCGUGUCAUCGGCAGGCUUCUCCUCCUCGGCGUCUUCAUCGAUAUGCUUCUUGGCAACUCGAUCAGUUUCAAGACAAAAUCUGGUGCGCAGCGCGCUUAACAACAAGAAGAACAUCGUGUGCAGGAUUACUGCCCCAGAGGAUGAGGUGAUGUUGGAGUGGAGCCAUGGGAGCGAGCGAUCUUCGAAGGUGCAGUUCCAGGCGACAAUGGGAUCAACAAAUUGGACACGUGGCAACAACCCUUGUGAGGUAUGGAUCGGAGUUGGUUUGGAGACGGUAAGCACAUGGCCCAAAUUUUGGUCACAUGUUAGGGCAUCUCCAACGCUAUCCCUGUAAUUGGACACAAUAUUCAUCCACGGACCACGUCUGAAUGCGUCCAGGGGCAGGAUACGGGAGCCGGUCAUCCAACGUUGUCUCUCAAAUAGGCAUUAAAUCCGGACAACGGUGGUGGGCUAGGCGGACCUAAAGGGAAAAUCACAUGGGCUGGGAGGACAUGUGGUCCAACUGACAGUGGGUCAAGUGAACCUCCGCAUGAUGUCCAGACUCCCGCAAAGACCUUGAUUCCAGUUCGGGGGAAAACUGAUAUGCAAAGUAGCCCGUGAAUGUUUAGGGAACUGCAUUGGAUGGCAAAAAGUGUUCGGACCACGUGGUCUGGAUCUUUAUGUAAGCUUUGCAUUAGGGCAAUGUACAAUGGUGGCAUAUGGAUACUGAUGUCCCAUGACAAAAAAUAACUUGAGGCAUCUAUAUUGAUUUUUUCUCGCCAACACAAGCUACUACCAGUGAGUCUCAUCAAAGAAUAUAAAGUAGACUCCUACUACACAUGCAACCUUACUCUUCACUUCAACUUUUUCAACUUUAUGCAUCAGAUCACACUUUUUCCCCAAACACCUGCCUCCUACCGAGGAUCCCGCCACCCCAUUCGAACCUACUUUUCUUGACUUCCGAUCCUACAUGGCCUAUGGGGCAUCACCCUAGCUAGGGCUAUGCAUUGGCCAUGCCCUUACUAAUGAAGCUAUGUACCUAGGGUAGGGUCAUGGACCUGUCCCAGCUGCCCUACCCAAGGACAUCUCAAGAAGAAAUCACCUUCCAAUCGACUUGGAGGUGUUCCACUCGACAGACUCGAAGACACUCGACCAAGAAGCAAUCACUCGACCAAUACCAAACCACUCGACGGCCAGGAGACCUAAAGGCACUCCGCACGCUAACGGUCGGUUAUUAAGUAGCUUUUAUGGUCAUCAUAUCACUUUAUUAGGGGUGUUACCAGUAACGCCCGACCUUAAUGUAUUUAAAACCCUGCACAACUGAGGGCCGGAGGGGUCCGACAAACUCUAUAUAAGCCACCCCCUCCUCAGUGUAAAGGGUUCGCACCCCUGUAAUUCAUACAUGCAUAAUCCAGUCGACCGCCUCCGGGCUUCGAGACGUAGGGCUAUUACUUCCUCCGAGAAGGGCCUGAACUCGUAAACCUCGUGUGCUUACAACUUCUCCAUAGCUAAGAUCUUGCCUCUCCAUACUUACCCCCCUACAUUACUGUCAGACUUAGAACCACGACAGUUGGCGCCCACCAUGGGGCAGGUAUUUUAGUGAUUUGUUGGAGGAGUUGCGAUCUUUUCCGAUCCAAAUCAUCAUGGUUUCUGGCGGAGUUUUGGUGGAGGGCCGCGUGAUCCGUCUCGGCGCGCUCACGUUCAUCGCCGACGAAUCCGCUUGGCUUCAGGAGGCUCCGCUCGACGUGGACGCACUUCCUGUCCGCGGGGCAACGCACUUUAGCGCGUGCGUCCGCGGCGUUCUCUUGCGGCAACCGUCGACCCCGUACCGGUCAGCUCCUGUGUUGUCCUCCCUCCCUGUUUCCCGCCGGCGCAAGCGCUCCGGUCGGUCGAGACUUCAGCGGUGGGUGAGACACGCGGUGGCACGCCAGUCGGCCACCCCUCAAGUCGCGGCGAUCAAGCCCGACGAAUCCCUCUAUGGCCUGUUUGAUCUGUCGACUGGCUCCGCAGAGACCGCAUCCGAGUGCGACAGUAGUGAUCCGGCGGCAGAGGUUCUGAUGGUCGAUGGACCGCCCAGUCCUCCCGGUUUUCCCCCGCACCGACGGAGGCGCAGGUGAAGGCGACCCGUCGCAUCCCCAUGAGGAAUAUCUCCUCGAGCCUCUCACGUCGCUGCAGAGAGAAGAACUUCGUCGCCGGAACAUGGAUGCACUGCACACUCUAUCGUUGGAGAAACCCCCGAGGCUCGUGCCUUGGAGGACGCGCGCUUGACAAACUUGGCCGAGCGCACUCGACUGGAGAACCUCCAGCGAGCACUCGACGAGCGUGCGUGACAACGGGUUCCAGAAUCCAGUCGACGUCAGCUCUUUCCGCCCCCGCAAGUAUAUCGAACUCUGAUUCAGAAUUUAACAGCUGCAGCCCGUAUAGCAGAGUCGAUUCAGCCUUCCCAGUCGGAGGCUGGCAGAGGCUUGCUGCAGAUCAGAGCGUUACUCUGGGCAGCAGGAGACCAGAAUUCCGCUGUUUCUCAGUUGUGGAACAGGAUUCAUAGCAGAUCCAUUGCUGCAGACACAGUCCAGUCGGCUCAUAGCCCAAGAUCGCCCCCGAGGCGUGAGGGACGUGGGGACCGGCGUAAUCAGUACGGGAACCGUGAGCAGUAUGAUCACCGAUUCGAUCGUGACGAUCGACGUCGAGUGCCCACCCCUCCCCCGAGGAGCGGGUCGUAUGCGCCUCGACAGCAAGAUGACAGGCGCCCACAUAGUGUUGGGCGAAGUAUUCCGGUCGACCCCAGGGAACCAGGCUUUGAUGCGAGAUCCAUUCUCGUUCAAGGUUUGGUCGACAGGAACAUGGCUCACCGAGAAGGUCACGACAGAGAUGCACCUACCAGCAGCAGAGUACAUGUUUCGGGGCCAGAGUGCUUUAGUAGAGCCAUCAGGGUCGCUGUGAUUCCUCCCAACUUCAGGUUGGCGACUGGAGUCAGUAAGUUCACUGGUGAGUCCAAACCCAAUACUUGGCUUGACGACUACCGAGUGGCCGUCCAGAUUGGCGGCGGCAAUGAUGAAGUGGCCAUGAAGCACCUGCCUCUCAUGUUGGAGGGCUCGGCCAGAGCGUGGCUGAAUCAAUUAGCACCCAGCAACAUUUACACUUGGGAAGAUCUCGCCCGAGUGUUUGUCACCACAUUUGAAGGAACAUGCAAGCGACCGGCAGGGCUGACGGAACUGCGGUCUUGCGUGCAGAAGCCGAAUGAAACUUUGAGGGAUUACAUCCAGAGAUGGAUCACGUUACAUCACACAGUAGAGAAUGUGCCUGACCACCAAGCAGUCUGUGCCUUCAAAGAAGGCGUCAAGUACAGAGAACUGAAUCUAAAAUUCGGUCGAACUGGAGAUAUGUCUCUGAAUCGGAUGAUGGAGAUUGCCACCAAGUACGCUAAUGGUGAAGAUGAGGAUCGACUCAGGAGUGGCAAGCUCAAGCCAGUCGCUCAAGAAACCGGAGGAAAUUCCAAUCGGAAACAGAAGCGGAAAGCCGAGCCAGCUGCUCCUGGGGAAGCCUUGGCUGUAACUCAAGGAAAGUUUAAGGGGAAACCCAAAGGACCUUACCCCAAGAAAGUUAAAGGCCAAGAUGGAAAUGAUGUGUUGGAUUUGCCAUGUCACAUCCACACCAAGAAAGAUGAAGAGGGUAAGUUCAUUUACCCAAAACAUACCACUCGACAGUGUCGGCUCUUGAUCCAGCAGUUCCAGGGCAAGCAGCCCAAAGAUAAGGAAAAGGAGUCGGACAAAGUUGAGGACAAAGAAGACAGUGACGAUGGAUACCCCCAGGUCAAUUCCACCCUGAUGAUUUUUGCUGAUGUUGAAAGCAAAAGUCAACUAAAAGUUAUCAACCGUGAGGUGAAUAUGGUUGCUCCGACAACACCCAGUUAUCUGAAGUGGUCUCAGACUGCCAUCACAUUUGACCAGUCCGAUCAUCCAACGCACAUUGCCACCCCUGGGAGGCAAGCUUUGGUGGUCGACCCAGUUGUUGAAGGCACUCGACUGACCAAAGUCUUGAUGGAUGGUGGUAGUGGUUUGAACAUAUUGUAUGCUGAGACGUUGAAAGGGAUGUGCAUUCCGAUGUCCAGACUCAGUGCCAGCAACAUGAGUUUCCAUGGAGUCAUUCCUGGAAAGAAGGCUAAGUCACUCGGCCAGAUUGCUCUUGAUGUGGUUUUCGGUGAUUCCAAGAAUUACCGCAAAGAAAAUUUGAUGUUCGAAGUUGUAGAUUUCCAAAGUGCGUAUCACGCUAUUUUGGGCAGGCCGGCUUAUGCACGCUUCAUGGCUCGACCAUGUUAUGUGUAUCUCAAGUUGAAGAUGCCUGGUCCCAAAGGUGUGAUCACUAUUACGGGCAAUCAGAAGAAAGCAGAAGAAUGUUUUCAGAAAGGUUCAAAGAUCGCUGAUGCUCAGAUGGCAGUGGUGGAGCUGCAGGAAUACCAGAAGACUGCAGACCCGAGUGAUUUGUUGCAAGCCAAGAAGCCCGCUAUAGAAUCAGCUUUUCAGUCGUCUGGCGAAACGAAGACAACUCACAUCCACCCGACCGAUCCCAGCGCUGCUCCAACUCAUAUCUCAACAACACUUGACUCCAAAUAGGAAGAAGCGCUCAUCCAGUUCCUCCGUGAGAACUGGGACAUUUUUGCAUGGAAUCCUUCUGACAUGCCAGAUGUUCCCAGGGAGCUGGCUGAGCAUCGCCUAUGAGUCGACUCAAAAGUAAAGCCUGUCAAAGAACAUCUCCGACGGUCCGCCGUCCAGAAGAGAAAGGAUAUUGACGAGGAGGUAGCUCGGCUCUUAGCAGCGGAGUUCAUCCGAGAAAUCUACCACUCCGAGUGGCUCGCCAACGUUGUCAUGGUCCCCAAGAAGGACAAGUCACUUCGCAUGUGCAUUGACUUUAAACAUAUCAAUCGGGCCUGCCCGAAAGAUCAUUUUCCUCUCCCCCGCAUCGACCAAAUAGUCGACUCGACUGCGGGAUGUGAGCGACUGUCUUUUUUAGACGCCUAUUCCGGGUACCAUCAGAUCCGUCUGUAUGGACCUGACGAGAUCAAAACAGCUUUCAUCACUCCAUUCGGGUGCUUCUGUUAUGUUACCAUGCCGUUCGGCCUCAAGAAUGCCGGAGCCACAUUCAUGAGGAUGAUUCAGAAGUGUUUGCUCACUCAAAUCAGUCGGAAUGUGGAAGCAUACAUGGAUGAUAUUGUGGUCAAGUCAUGGAAGGGUUCCGACCUGCUGACUGACCUUACUGAAACCUUUGCCAACCUCAGGAGGUAUGACAUCAAGCUUAAUCCAUCAAAGUGCACAUUCGGAGUUCCUGGCAGAAAGUUACUCGGUUUCCUCAUUUCCGAACGGGGAAUCGACGCAAAUCCGGAAAAAGUCGGUACUUACGUCCAAAAGCUUACUGGUUGCUUGGCCGCUUUAAGUCGAUUCAUCUCUCGUCUAGGUGAAAAGGCAUUGCCUCUUUACCGAUUGAUGAAGAAGUCAGACAAGUUCGAGUGGACUCCUGAAGCUGAUGCAGCGUUUGCAGAGCUCAAAGCUCUGCUCUCCACCCAGCCGGUGCUUGCUGCCCCAAUCAGCAAAGAGCCUUUGCUGCUUUACAUCGCAGCCAUGGGACAAGUCGUCAGUACGGUACUGACGGUCGAGCGGGAAGAAGAAGGAAAAGCCUUCAAAGUUCAGCGCCCAGUGUAUUAUAUUUCUGAAGUUUUGACCCCAUCGAAGCAAAGAUAUCCUCACUAUCAGAAGCUUGUAUAUGGGAUUUAUAUGACCACAAAGAAAGUUGCUCACUACUUCUCUGAUCAUUCCAUUACAGUCGUCAGCGAUGCUCCAUUGUCAGAGAUCCUGCAUAACAGAGAUGCAACUGGUCGAGUGGCAAAAUGGGCGAUUGAACUCCUUCCUCUAGAUAUCAAGUUUGAGGCAAAGAAAGCUAUCAAGUCCCAGGCAAUAGCAGAUCUCGUCGCCGAGUGGAUUGAACAGCAAAUGCCGACUCAGGUUCACUCGGAGCAUUGGACCAUGUUCUUCGAUGGUUCCAAAAUGCUGAAUGGUUCCGGUGCUGGGGUGGUGUUGGUAUCCCCCCGAGGAGAUAAGCUCAGAUAUGUUCUUCAAAUCCACUUUGAUUCCUCCAAUAACGAGGCAGAAUAUGAAGCACUUUAUAUGGGUUGCGCAUGACCAUUUCACUCGGCGUCCGUCGCCUCAUGGUCUAUGGCGACUCAGAUUUGGUGGUUAAUCAAGUGAUGGAGGAGUGGGAUGUCAGAAGUCCAGCCAUGACUGGUUAUUGCAAUGCAGUGAGAAAGCUGGAGAAGAAAUUCGAGGGGUUAGAGCUUCAUCACAUACCCCGACUGAAAAAUCAAGCAGCGGAUGGUUUGGCGAAAAUAGGUUCCAAAAGAGAAGCCAUUCCCAGCAAUGUGUUUUUGGAACACAUUCACACACCAUCAGUUCAGGAGGAUCCCUUCACUGAAGAGGCCCCGCAGCCAAAAAGUGCCACGGAUCCGACUGAAGUUGAAGUUCCAGCUGUGGUCGACCUGAUCAUGAAAGUCUUGGUCAUCACUCCUGACUGGACAAUACCGUACAUCGCGUACAUCCUAAGGAAAGAACUCCCAAAGGACGAAGAAGAGGCUCGACAGAUCGUCCGUCGAUCCAAGGCCUUUACAGUCAUAAAGGGACAGUUGUAUAGAGAAAGCGCGAUUGGAGUCAGUCAGAAGUGUAUAACACCAGAAGAAGGUCAGAUGAUCCUUGAUGAUAUCCACUCGGGGACCUAUGGUCAUCAUGCGUCCUCUCGGACCAUUGUGGCUAAAGCAUACCGAGCGGGAUUCUACUGGCCAAGGGCCAAUGAAAUGGCCAAAGAGAUAGUCGACAAAUGUGAAGGAUGUCAGUAUUACUCCAAUAUGUUGCACAAGCCCGCGUCAGCCCUGAAAACCAUUUCACUCGUCCGGCCCUUCGCUGUUUGGGGGCUGGACAUGGUUGGACCACUGAGAACAGGCAGGAACGGCUUCACUCAUGUGCUAGUAGCAGUCGACAAGUUCACCAAAUAGAUUGAAGCUAAGCCUAUAAAGAAUCUUGAUGCUUGCACUGCUAUCAGUUUCAUCAGAGAGUUGAUAUUCAGAUAUGGAGUUCCGCACAACAUCAUCACUGACAACGGGUCAAACUUCGAUUCCGACAAAUUCAGGGCCUUUUGCGCCUCUCAGGGCACACGAGUCGACUACGCUUCGGUCGUUCACCCCCAGUCGAAUGGACAAACGGAAAGAGCAAACGGCCUAAUUCUCAAAGGUCUGAAACCUCGAUUGAUGCGCGAUCUCAAGAAUGCAGCAGGUGCAUGGGUCGACGAGCUUCCAUCAGUCCUUUGGGGAUUGAGGACAACCCCGAACCGAUCAACCGGAAGAACCCCAUUCUUUCUGGUCUACGGAGCCGAAGCAGUCUUGCCGAGUGACCUGCUUCAAAACGCCCCCCGAGUCGAGCUCUACUCUGAAGAUCAAGCAGAACAAGCCCGGCAGGACGCAAAAGACCUCCUGGAAGAAGAAAGAGAAAUGGCCAUGAUCUGAUCGACCAUCUAUCAGCAAGACUUGCGUCGAUUCCAUGCCAGAAAUGUGAAGAGUCGAGCCUUCCAAGAAGGAGACUUAGUCCUCCGAGUGGAUCAGCAGAAACCACACAAACUCGCUCCUACUUGGGAAGGCCCCUUCAUAGUCACCAGAGUCCUCCACAAUGGAGCAUACCACCUCUAUAAUGUCGAUCGCCAGAUUGAUGAGCCACGAGCCUGGAAUGCGGAGCUACUCCGCCCCUUUUAUACUUGAAUUCUCACUCGGAUGAGAUGUAAUAAGAAAAACUCCUGUAGUUUAUUUAUCAAAGACAAGAGCAUUAUAAUUUUCCCAGUGAUUGUUAUUGUUUUUGUUUGCGUAAGAAAUCCCCCAGUGGGUGGCUUAGCUGCGAAUCUGUUUCGCCUAAGUUUGUAAAAAUAAUUUCUUACCGAGUGGUGAGCCAGCCUCCCACUCGGGGGCUUAGUUGCGAACCCGUUUCGCCUAAGUAUUUGAAAAUCCUACCGAGUGGUGAGCCAGCCUCCCACUCGGGGGCUUAGCUACGAACCCGUUUCGCCUAAGUAUUUGAAAAUCCUACCGAGUGGUGAGCCAGUCUCCCACUCGGGGGCUUAGCUGCAGUCCAGUACUCGCCUAGGUAUUUGAAAAUCCUACCGAGUGGUGAGCCGGCCUCCCACUCGGGGGCUUAGCUGCAGUCCAGUACUCGCCUAAGUAUUUGAAAAUCCUACCGAGUGGUGAGCGACCCUCCCACUCGGGGGCUUAGCUGCAGUCCAGUACUCGCCUAAGUAUUUGAAAAUCCUACCGAGUGGUGAGCNNNNNNNNNNNNNNNNNNNNNNNNNNNNNNNNNNNNNNNNNNNNNNNNNNNNNNNNNNNNNNNNNNNNNNNNNNNNNNNNNNNNNNNNNNNNNNNNNNNNNNNNNNNNNNNNNNNNNNNNNNNNNNNNNNNNNNNNNNNNNNNNNNNNNNNNNNNNNNNNNNNNNNNNNNNNNNNNNNNNNNNNNNNNNNNNNNNNNNNNNNNNNNNNNNNNNNNNNNNNNNNNNNNNNNNNNNNNNNNNNNNNNNNNNNNNNNNNNNNNNNNNNNNNNNNNNNNNNNNNNNNNNNNNNNNNNNNNNNNNNNNNNNNNNNNNNNNNNNNNNNNNNNNNNNNNNNNNNNNNNNNNNNNNNNNNNNNNNNNNNGAGCGACCCUCCCACUCGGGGGCUUAGCUGCAGUCUAGUACUCGCCUAAGUAUUUGAAAAUCCUACCGAGUGGUGAGCGAACCUCCCGCUCGGGGGCUUAGCUGCAGUCCAGUACUCGCCUAAGUAUUUGAAAAUCCUACCGAGUGGUGAGCGACCCUCCCGCUCGGGGGCUUAGCUGUAGUCCAGUACUCGCCUAAGUAUUUGAAAAUCCUACCGAGUGAUGAGCGACCCUCCCGCUCGGGGGCUUAGCUGCAGUCCAGUACUCGCCUAAGUACGAAACACAUCUCAAUCCUCAAGGACGACGAGGUGCAGGUCGACUGCCACCUUUUCCUUGGGAGCUUCGCCACAAAUACAACGUGCGCUCUAUCCCACUCCGCAAGGACGACGAGGUGCAGGUCUACUGCCACCUUCUCCUUGGGAGCUUAGCCACAAAUACAAUGCACACUCCAUCGCCGACCCGCAAGGACGACGAGGUGCAGGUCGACUGCUACCUUCUCCUUCGGAGCUGCGCCACAAAUACAAAACUUGUCUCGAAUGAAGAACGAGUUCCACUCGACGGGGAUUCAUGAAGAUAUUCAACGAUAAACCAAGUUCAGAUAAAUCCUAAAGGUUCCGGACCACAGAUCGAAGUGCUCGGGCAUUCAGCCCGAAAGAGUUUAACGGUUACAAAAACCACUCAGCAUUCCGAGGCAAAUUUAAGGUGAGGCAUAAAAGUUUGUUCACUCCGCGGGAGGAGGACUAGCAGGCUCGACGAACUUGUCUAGGUCGACGCUGUCGGCGAUCCGAGUGGCUGCAGCGAUGAAAGUCUCCAUAAAAGAUCGGAAGUCAUGCUUCUAGGUGUUGGCGACCUUGAUUGCUGCCAGCUUAUGUUGUCGCACCUCCUUGCAAUGGACAUGAACCAAAGACAGAGCCACAUCAGCACCACACCGGGCAGAAGAUUUCUUCCACUCCUGCACUCGGUCAGGGAUCUCAUUAAGUCGAGUCAUCAGGGACUCAAGAUCAUUCUGGAGCGUGGCCUCUGGCCAAAGUGCCGGGUCGAUUCGUGACGUGGCGACCUUCAGUCGAGCCAAGUAGUCCACAACACCGUCGAUGCGGGAUUCCAGUCGGAGCAGAUUCAUGGCAGUUUCAUCUUUCACGGGAGAAUUGAUUGGGUCCAAACCUGGCUCAAUCCGCGCAGUCUCCUCCUCGAAGUUCUGGCAAAACUCUGCAUUCACGAUCCAAGGAUAAGUCAAUUUUCGUACGCUGAGUCAACACAAAAAAAAAUCAGUCGGAACACAAUGUGCACCUUCAAGCUUGAUGAACAACUUCUUGGCAAGGCUCCUCAGAUAGCUCUCCAGAUCGUCCCUCCUACGAGUGAUGCCUUCCAUCUUCUCGUACAGGUUGAGAUUGUCCUUCUUCAAGCGCGUGCACUCCUUGUUGGCUUCGUUCAGAGCAGAUUUCAUCUUGGUAUUCUCUUCUUCCAACUGGCCGACCGAAGCCAGUUUCUGUUCAGCCAGAGCGGUUCUGUCGUCAGCUUCCUUUCGAGCAGCAGCCAAAUCCUGAUCCUUCUUCGCCAGAGCUUCUUUUAGUUUUUCUGCAAAGAAAUGACGCUUGAUUCAGAAAGAGCAGAAGGGUACUCAAGCCUAAGACAAACCAGUCGACAAACUCAUCUUACCAUUGGCGCCGUCCUUGGCCUUUUGCAGCUCUGUCUUGGCCAGCUCCAAGUCAAGGUUCAGUUGGAUCUGCUGUUUCUCCAAGUCAGCGAAGCGAGCUCCAAGAUCACAAGAUUUCUGAAAUCAAAGAGGAGAAGUUAUUUUACAGCGAAAAACGACAAAGACAAUAAGUACUAAGACUACGGUCGACUGCCCGCAGUCCACCAUAGUCUCGGGGACUACACCUAGUGGGUGCACUUUGCGUGUCCCCACCGGUUCUGAUCCCACUCGACCGGCCCGCCGGAGUCGAGUGCAGGGAGUAAAAAAAAGGGGGAGAGAAAGAAGAAAUCAGACCACAGUCGACUGCCAGUAGUCGACCACGGUCUCGGGGACUACACCCAGCGGGUGCACUUGGCGUGCCCCCACCGGUUCUGAUCCCACUCGACCAGAUCGAGUGGAAGAGACAAACUACCAGUUCGGUUUACACUCGACAAAAUACAAAGACUACAGUCGACUGCCAGCAGUCCACCGUAGUCUCGGGGACUACAUCCAGUGGGUGCACUCAGCGUGCCCCUACUAGUUCAAAAAUUCAAUCGACGCACCCAGUGGGUGUACAGAUGCAAAGAUUUUUGGAAAGAGUCUUCAGAUAGCAUGUCCUAACAGAACAAGCGGUGACCAACUAACCUGAACGUUGCUUUGGAGAGCCGAGCUGGCGUCGUAGGCGGCCUGACUGGCGUCCCGCACCGUCUUCAUCUUCUCCAUCAUGAUGCCCGCCUGGUGUAUGGCUUCCUUGGCAGCAUUCAUUUUGUCCUCUAGGACAUGAUGGGUCGCAAAAACUGAAGGUGGGUCGACAGGGGCCUGAGCAGUCGACGAAGAAGGCAAGGCACUCGACAGUGGCAUGACGAAGGUAACAGAACCCCGAUUGGCGUCGCCAGUGUCCUGAACGACUGGUUCCGCCCUCGGCGUCGACUGUGGCACCUUGCUUGCAGGAGCUUGCCUAUUCUGCCUCGUCAAAGGCCUCUCGGACUCUUCAUCAUCAUCGGGGAGGUCGAUAAUGUUGGGAGCUGUGCAAAGUUCAAUCGCCAAAACACAUCACCCAAUGGUGCACAUUGUAGUUGAGCCAACCAAAUAAAGAUAGAAUGGCAGAAAUCAUACCCAGAUUGGAAGUGACCACAUCCUCCAUUACCUCAUCCUCGUCCCUGUAAGCUGAGGUCCUGGAAGUAGCAGCGCUGCCAGUUCCAAAGUUCGUCUGGUCAAAACAAGAAAAACAAACGACACGGGGCGUCGAGUGAAUACAAAGGGAGACACUCACGCAGAAGCGACGGGGAUGUCAAUCUUAAUCUUCGGCAACGCCUUCCGAGUCUUCGGCUCUACAACUUUGGGAUGCUUUGGCGCUUUUUCGGUCGGGGUUGGUGAAGAGAUCCGAGGACGCUUUGAAGACUGACCAGCCUGGGCAGUCGCCUUUCGCCGGCGCUCGGUCGUUCUUGGUCAAGCUUGGAUCGCCUCUCCCUGCGAGGAGGCGACUCGACUUCUUCUUCGUCACUUGAGUCGUCGCUUUCUCCGUCCCCUUCAUCGUCAGAAGUCCAUUCGCCACUGUCGCCGCCGCUCGCCUCUCCUUCCAGAUCUUGCUCUUGCUCUCCAUUGGGCAUUGGAUACAUUUCGAUAAGGGCCUGAAAGAAAGCAGGAAGAAUAAAGUCAGUCGACGCGGUAUAGACAGCUGCGCGAGUGAAUUCAGAUUACAAUCAAAAGCUCGGAAUCUGACCUUCUCUGGUACAUGGGACUGGUCGAAUGGAGGAACUCUCCUGGCUCCCCUGGGGUUGUCCUUGUUUUCGGUCAUGCCCGACAGCCACUUCUCCAGUGUGUCGUCAUCGACCUCCUCCGGGUGAAUCCGAGUGGAGUCGUCAAGACCCGAAUACAUCCACAUCGGAUGGUCUCGAGCUUGAAGAGGCUGGAUGCGCCGCUGGAUGAAGACCUCCAAGAGAUCCAUACCGGUGACCCCGUCACGGAUAAGCUGGACCACUCUCUCAACCAGCACCCUCACCUGCGCCUUCUCCUCCGGGAGCACCUUCAAAGAGGAGGGUUUCCUCACUCGGUCCAUGGUAAAAGGAGGGAGGCCAGUCGACUUCCCUGGCGUCGACUGGUCCUUGUAGUAAAACCAGGUCGACUGCCAUCCGCGAAUCGAGUCGGAAAGAAUCAUGGCCGGAAAGGAACUUUUCCCUCUCAUCUGAACACCAAGACCCCCACACAUCUGAAUCACUUGAGUUCUCUCGUCACUCGGAUUGGCCUUUUUCACCGCCUGAGAGCGACAAGUGAAAAUGUUCUUGAAAAGACCCCAGUGAGGCUGACAACCCAGGAAAUUCUCACACAAAGAAACGAAAGCAGCGAGAUAAACGAUUGUGUUGGGAGUGAAGUGGUGGAGUUGUGCCCCAAAGAAGUUCAGAAAUCCCCGAAAGAAAGGGUGAGGAGGCAAGGAAAAUCCACGGUCGAUGUGGGUGGCAAGGAGAACGCGCUCACCCUCCCGAGGUUGCGACUCGGAUUCCUUCCCCGGAAGCCGCGCCGAUUCAUGGGGGAUCAGCCCUCCUUCGGCUAGGUCGUCGAGGUCCUCUUGGGUGAUCGUCGAGCGGAUCCAGUCGCCCUGGAUCCAGCCCUUUGGCAGGCCGGUUCGCGAGGAAGAUCCACCCCGACUGAUCGCCUUCCCCUUCGCCUUUUCCGUCGCCUUCUUUGCCCGCUCCAGAGCCGCCGUCUUCUCCUUCCCCAUCAUCGCCGGCGAGACGCGUAUGGAGCGGUGGCGCUGGGGCGAGAGCGAGCGCGAGCGCGACGAAGGAGCCUGAAGAGGAGAAGAGAUAAUGGAGACACACUGUUCAAGAGACCUCGGUCCGACGCCUUAUAUGAGGCCGCUUCCGAGUGGCUGACUGGUAGGCCCGGGUGGUCCUGUCAAAUCCCGUAACAAUCGCGUGCGCGAUACGUGGCGAAAAAGGUGGCGCGGGGAUCGAGGCGGCUCCCUCGUCCCGCGCGCUUCCCAAAAUUCGGACCCCGCAAAAUCUGCGGGCAGCAGAACAACUUGUCAGACCGAAGAUCUCCUCCACACCAUCACUCAGAGCCUUUCAAGUAAAGAAACUCACUCGACAACAAACUAAGAAUGGAUCAAGGCGACUGAAAAGGAAGUUGCUGUCAUCACUCAGGUUCAUUGAUCUGAAACAAGAUAUGCUCAUGACAUGAAAAAUGAGUCGGAGAAGUGAUCAACCCCUUUCCCACUCAAACCUCGAUCCAUUCGGGGGCUAAUGAUGAAGCUAUGUACCUAGGGUAGGGUCAUGGACCUGUCCCAGCUGCCCUACCCAAGGACAUCUCAAGAAGAAAUCACCUUGCAAUCGACUUGGAGGUGUUCCACUCGACAGACUCGAAGACACUCGACCAAGAAGCAAUCACUCGAUCAAUACCAAACCACUUGACGGCUAGGAGACCUAAAGGCACUCCGCACGCUAACAGUCAGUUAUUAAGUAGCUUUUAUGGUCAUCAUAACACUUUAUUGGGGGCGUUACCAGUAACGCCCGACCUUAAUGUAUUUAAAACCCUGCACAACUGAGGGCUGGAGGGGUCCGGCGAACUCUAUAUAAGCCACCCCCCUCCUCAGUGUAAAGGGUUCGCACCCCUGUAAUUCAUACAUGCAUAAUCCAGUCGACCGCCUCCGGGCUCCGAGACGUAGGGCUAUUACUUCCUCCGAGAAGGGCCUGAACUCGUAAACCUCGUGUGCUUACAACUUCUCCAUAGCUAAGAUCUUGCCUCUCCAUACUUACCCCCCUACAUUACUGUCAGACUUAGAACCACGACACUUACCGCUUUGGAGAUGCCCUUAGACUGUAUCAUUUUUGGAGAGAUAACCCUUCACUUUAUAAAAUCAACCCAUACUUCACAUCGUUCACUCCCACUAGCAAACCUGUAUUCUUAAUAUUUUGGCUAAAACAUAAAAAGUACUCCCUCCGUCCCAUAAUGUAAGACGUUUUUUGACGUGUAGUGUCAAAAAAGUUUACAUUAUGGGAUGGAGGGAGUAAUAUAUUGAAUUGAAUGUUCGAUUAUGGAUCCGUUUUGACUGUCAUCUUUGUCUUGAUGAGAUAUUUGAAACAAAAUCAUUGCUGAGUAUUUUUGAUUUUUUUUCUUGUUUUAAACUUUACUCAAAACUUGAUGUACUGGUCAUAAGCAGGUACAUGUCUGGGGAGGGAAGGCAGAUGUUUGUAGUCAUGUUUCAAAAAGCAUAAUAAUAAUAAUAAUUUUGUAAACAUAUACUCCUUCCGUUCCAAAAUUUUUGUCUUAAAUUUGUCUAGAUACGGAUGUAUCAUACAUCCGUAUUUAGACAAAUCUAAGACAAGAAUUUUAGGACGGAGGGAGUACUACAUUGAUCUUGUUUUACAGUUCUCAUAAAUACAAAGAUGCCAGUGAAAACAAUUUUGAAACAAUUGGUUCAAAAACAUUUGACACAAUUAUUGAUGGGAGAGUGAGAACAUGACAUAUGGAGCGCGGGUUGAUUACCAACUAUCAGUUUCUUAGGUCAGACCGUCUCCCUCUACCCAAUGGCUUAUUCAACACCUGUGCAUUUGGUGCAUGAAUUAGACGGGUGCACUAUAUAUAGGGUCGCGCUAUUCGUCACCCUGGGUGAGGAAUAAUUAUUCUUCAUCCCCUCUCUAUUUUGACAUUAAGGCAUCGUAUUUUUGCGUUUCGUAAAUUUUGUCUUAUUUUGUACAUAAAAAGAGAACAUAAGAAAAUAUGUACUCGCCGUAAAAAAUAUUUUAUAUUACGUAAAAUUACGAAUGUAAAAACAUAAUGUAAAACAUACAUAAAAUGUGAUUUUUCUGGUCUUAUAACUUAUAUUUUUGCUUUUUUAUACCAAAUUUUACAUAUUGAAUCAAUAUGCAUGCAAUUAUUUAUAUUCUAAACGUAAUUUAUUUAGGAAGUGAUAGUAAGAUUACUUCGGAUGAAGAAUAACUUUUAUAUAUCCACCUGAUAAGAGCAUUUACAACCGUACUUAGAAAAAGUGAGCUUCUAAAUGUCCGCGGAUGCGUACGAUGGACAAGCCUGAUCACCCCUCAUUUCUCACACAUUCUAACCACAUUCUUCAUUUCAAAUCCUCAUUUUCAGCGACAUCCAUUUGAUCCACCUAUAUAAAAUAAACUAGCAAACUAGUUACUUGUCAUCGCAUAUGUCGAUGACCUCCUUGCCGGAACCGCCGGCCUUGUCGUCAUUGACAGCCGGGCGAAAUGCUGACUCCUCGUCCUCGUCCUUCUCGUCCGCAAAAAGCUGCUCACGCUUCACGUCCGCCUUCGCCUCGUGGAUGAAGUGGCAGUUCGUCGCCACCGUCGCCUCAGAUUGGAUGGACUCGAGGAUGGCCUGCUGCUCCAUCGCCUCCUUCGCUUGGGCGAGCUCGAACUCCAUCAACACUUCCCCCAUUGCUGAAUUCGGCCUGCUCCAUCAUUGACGCCACCUCCUCGUCCGACGUAGGCUCCUCCUCUGACACCUCCACCUCUUCCAUCUCCUUGUCUGGCGCCUCCUCCUGGGAGUUUGGAGGCAGGCCGACCAUAGCAUGGUGCAGUGUGCCUCAAUAACGCGCAUCUUCGCAUGGAUCUCCGCCCGACGCUCCAGAGUCAGCAGCUUGUAGUACGUCACCUUGGAGCGGACCGCGGCGGCUGGCAGAAGACGAGCUCAAAUUGGAAGUGGGAGAGGAAGAGGAGGGAGCAGCGGCGGCGUGGACGGAAGCGAGAGGAGGAGAAUGGCGACGAGGCUAGGGUUGCCUCACUGUCCGGCUUAAAUAACUGUGUUUGACCUCUCAGGCGGCGCACCAGAGCUGCUUCAUGAAUACGUCCUCACCGAAUUGGAGGAGGCGCCCGAUGGACACAUGGCUUUUUGCAUGGGUCUCGACUGUCAGUCUUACAUAUAUUGGGCACGUCCGGGCCUCUUCAUAUCUCUUUCAUGUGUAGAUUGGAUUUGAGGUGUCCCAUAAAGGGGCUAGUUGGAUGGCAAUUUCGUGACACGGCCGCCGAUGCAUAGAUAGUUUUUGAGGGAUCCAAUUGUGGAGGUAAUCUCCCGUAAGUUUAGCAUUUUCCUGAUAACGACACGUGCCAAAGGCGGAGGUGAAGCAAGUAGCCAUCCGCCACUCCAUAAAAACUCUAAUCAUUUUGCUCCAGCCAAGCCCAUUUCGACACACCACGAGGCACGCACUAGAGCCUACAGCAUACAUCGUCCGAUCGGCCAUCGAUGGAGGAGCUCAAGCCGGAGUUCACAAAGGACGGCUCCGUCGACCUCCGCGGCCGGCCGGUCGUCGCCGCCCGGACCGGCCGCUGGAAGGCCUGCUCCUUCCUAGUCGGUGAGUGGUCAGUACAGUACCAGGCUCCGCCCGCCAUGGAUCGAUCUAGUCCGACUCUCCUUCUGAUGAACCCGCGCCGCGCGCAUAUAUAUGGAUGGACGCAGGGUACGAGGCGUUCGAGCGGAUGGCGUUCUACGGGGUGGCGUCGAACCUGGUGGUGUACCUGACGACGCAGAUGCGGCAGGAGACGGUGCCGUCGGUGCGCAGCGUCAACAACUGGACGGGCACGGUGUGGAUGACGCCCAUCGCCGGAGCCUACGUCGCCGACGCCUUCCUCGGCCGCUUCUGGACCUUCACCGUCUCCUCCCUCGUCUACCUCUCGGUCAGUACCAUCUCCCGAUUGAUCUUCAGUCCAGUGGAGCCCAAUUUGAUCCGCAAUCCAGUAUGUUUCACAAGCCACAACGCAUCAUUGACACUGAGAGCUCAUCCUCAGACAUGGUUUCACUCACAGCACAUCAGUAGUAGUAGUAAACUAGUAACUCUAAUGAGUGAUGACUCGAACAAGGCACUGCAGUAGAAAACGUACCAGAAAUUACGACGCUAGCGGCGGCUAUUCGAGAACCACACCAUGUCUGAAACUCGCCGGAGAGACAAGUCAGUCAGAGCCCGACGCCGGCAGUAGAAGAUUCUUACGGACAAUCGUUGUCAGCUCAGGCCGACCAACCAGGACUAGUGUUUUGUCAUGACGGUUAGGAUUACGACCGGAGAAGAAAAACGCAUUUGGAUUUCGGAAUCUUUCGGCUGGGAGGCGUGGGCGAAAGCUUAGUCCUACUCUGCUUUGCUUGUCCUGUUUCUGCGCUACACGUACGGCGGCCCCACCGGCGUCCAUCACACAAGGCGUAUGCCGAUCGCUGUACCCAAAGCAUGGCAAAAAGGCUAUCAUGUCCAUGCCAAUCCAGAACCAAGAUUUAUAGUACGGCUGGAAAACCCUUCACAUGUGUCACCGUCCAUGACAAUAAUGCUAAGAACUACACUAUGAAAAUGUCUUAGAUUUUGAGACGGAACUGGUAGUAUUCAUAGUAUAUCUUAGUACAAACAUUAAUAAUAGUAAUAUUUUUUGGACAAAACGGUGAAUUUUAUUGGCUUAAAAUGGGCAUUAAGAAAGUCAUUAAGACCAAAGCUAAGCGUAGAUGAGAAAAAAUAAAACUCAAAGCGAUCAGAUUCGUGAUUGGCAAGCUACAAUAAUGGCCUUAUCCGUACAGACCAUCUCAUAACACCACAAAGACGCCGAGGUUCUUCAACAACAACGCUUUCAGGAUCUAGCCACCCAAAGUCAAAAUAUAAGUUUUCACCUUGAAGAACCAGUCUGAUCAUAUCUGAGCAAUGGCUUUAACAAGGUAACGACGUAAAAAUAUCGCCAUUGCCAGGUUUAACCAACUCAGGUCAGACCUAGACCUUCAUCCUAGAGCUCGAGACCGGAUACUCGAGUUGCACCACUAUCGACGCCAAUCAUGGGUUGUCACCACCACUUUUCUACGAUCCCAGCAGCUACAUGUGACGUGCGACUGUGAACGAUGCACAACAAUCCUUCUACACCAAACCGUCGUCCAUAGUUUGCAUUUUUUGCAUUCUACUAUAAUUUACACAUAGUGUAACUAAAAUAAUGUAUUUCCUUUAAGAAGAGGAUUAAAAAAAACUUACACACAACUUUGCACAGAAAUUGCACAUUAUCGUAAUAUGUAAAAAUAAUCAUAUAAUCAUGAAAUUUUGGCACAUAUUAUAUAAUAUUUUUUGUAUAUAAUUACACUCAGCCAAAAACCUACAAAAAACAAAAAAAACAAUAAAGGAAAGAAAAAAAGGAAAAAGGUAAAUGCAUAGAAAUAAAAAAAACAUAAAUAAAAAAUGAAGCAAAAAUACCCAUAAAAGAAAGAAUUAAAUUUCCGAAGGAAGAAUGAAUGAUCAACAUUGGUAUUACCAUUUAAGAACAAAAAAAAUGAGAAAAAGAAUCUAAAACAAACAAUGACAAAAUUUGCAUGAAAUAUACAUAAAAAUUGUGCUUCUUUACAAUAUGCAAGAAUAAUCAUAUAAAUGUAGAAUUUUUGCAAAAACAAAAUCUGAGAACAAAUGAAUUGUGCCAUUGGUAUUAACCUUAAAGUAGAAUGAAAAUGAAGUAANNNNNNNNNNNNNNNNNNNNNNNNNNNNNNNNNNNNNNNNNNNNNNNNNNNNNNNNNNNNNNNNNNNNNNNNNNNNNNNNNNNNNNNNNNNNNNNNNNNNNNNNNNNNNNNNNNNNNNNNNNNNNNNNNNNNNNNNNNNNNNNNNNNNNNNNNNNNNNNNNNNNNNNNNNNNNNNNNNNNNNNNNNNNNNNNNNNNNNNNNNNNNNNNNNNNNNNNNNNNNNNNNNNNNNNNNNNNNNNNNNNNNNNNNNNNNNNNNNNNNNNNNNNNNNNNNNNNNNNNNNNNNNNNNNNNNNNNNNNNNNNNNNNNNNNNNNNNNNNNNNNNNNNNNNNNNNNNNNNNNNNNNNNNNNNNNNNNNNNNNNNNNNNNNNNNNNNNNNNNNAUUAAACGGGCGCAACCAAGACAAAGAAGUCGGCCGGUACCGAUUUGACUAAGCAAAACAAUGCGCCAAUCGAUUCCUUGCAGCCCAGCCCAACAACAGAAUUAAACAGAAAAAAAUGAAACCAGCACAGAUCUCGUAGCAUGAUCCAACGAACAGAAAAUUGACUGACCAGAAAAUAAAAAGUCAGCUGACUGAAAUGUAGCUAGAGUGUUCCGCUUGUGAUUCAAAAUGGAAGAUUCAACAUGCAGUAAAAAAACAAGCAAAAUUUCACCAUUUUUUUUCAAAGAGUAUGAGGAAAAGGGAAAAUUUUGUGGUUAGUAAAUGUCGGAUGAUUCAUGUUGUUGCAGGGCAUGGUUCUGAUAACCCUGGCCGUCUCCCUGAAGCCGCUGCACCCGCAGUGCACGGCGGGCGGCGACUGCGCCCCGGCGACGCGGCAGCAGGUCGCCUUCCUGUACGCGGCGCUCUACACCAUGGCCGUCGGCGCGGGUGGGACCAAGCCCAACAUCUCGACGUUCGGCGCAGACCAGUUCGACGACUUCGACGCCCGGGAGCGCGAGGUCAAGGCCUCCUUCUUCAACUGGUGGCUGUUCAGCUCCUUCGCCGGCGGCCUCGUCGCCGUGCUCGUCCUCGUCUACGUGCAGGAGGAGGUCGGCUGGGGCGUCGGGUACACGAUCCCCACGGUCGGCCUCGCCCUGUCCCUCGUGCUCUUCUACGUGGGCACGCCGUUCUACCGGCACAAGCCGGUCACGCGGAGCACGGCGGCCGGCCCGGCGAGGCUGAUCGGCAGGGUGCUCAGGGCGGCGUACGCGAACCGGGGAUGCCCGCUCACCGGCGAGCUGCACGAGCAUGACAAGGCGUGGUACGCCGCGGCCGGGAAGCGGCUUCUGCUCCACACGGAGGGUAACUUCAGGUUCUUGGACAAGGCGGCGAUCCGUGAGCGUGAGGCGUGCACGGUGACCGAGGUCGAGGAGGUGAAGCUGAUCGCCGGCAUGAUCGUGGUGUGGCUGGUUACCCUGGUGCCAUGCACCAUCUGGGCGCAGGUGAACACCCUGUUCGUGAAGCAAGGGACGACGCUGGACCGCUCCGUCGGCGGCGUGCGCAUCCCGGCCGCGUCCCUCGGCAGCUUCGUCACCAUCUCCAUGCUCAUCUCGAUCCCGAUCUACGACCGCGUGCUGGUGCCGCUGGCCCGGCGGCGCACGGGCAACCCGCGCGGCAUCACCCUCCUGCAGCGCCUCGGCGUCGGCUGCGCGCUGCAGGUGCUCGUCGUGGCCUGCGCCUGCCUGGUGGAGGUCCGGCGCAUGCGCGUGAUCCGGGAGCGCGCCGCCCGCGGCCCCCACGACACGAUGCCGAUGAGCGUCUUCUGGAUGCUGCCGCAGUACGUGCUGCUGGGCGUCGGCGACGUGUUCAACUCCGUGGGCAUCCUCGAGUUCUUCUACGACCAGUCGCCGGAGGGGAUGCGGAGCCUCGGCACCACCUUCUUCACCAGCGGGCUCGGCGUCGGGAACUUCCUCAACAGCCUGCUCGUGACGCUCGUCGACCGGGCCACCGCCACCACUACCGGGGGGAGCUGGAUCGGCGACAACCUCAAUGACUCGCACCUCGACUACUACUACGCGUUCCUGCUGCUCCUCACCGUGGCCAACAUGGCGCUCUUCGUGUGGGUGGCCAUGCGGUACAGGUACAAGAGAGAGUUCUUGGAGGACAGCGGCGCAAUGGAGACCGAGAAUGAGAUGGUGGCCGGCGGCAAGGUAAAGGCGGACCUGCCUGCGCGUCUGCCUGACAACACAACAAGGGACAGAGCAUAUGUACUGGAGUAGCAGUAUAUUGUACAGAGUACUUUUUUUAGGGGUUAUAAACCAACCUUUAUGGAUCGAAAUCCACGUGUAAUGGAAUAAAAAAGGAUCAUGAGGUUGAAUCAACCAGGUGUAUAGAUUCCGAUCCAGCGAAUGUGAAAACUUGGCUAACCUAUCGGCGUCGCGAUUAGUUGCUCUGCCUUGAAAGUAAAGGAAACAUUAAAAGCUAAUGAUUGCAUUGUAUCCUCCACAGCUAGCUUUGUCCAUGUCGUUGCUUGGAGUCCGAUGCAAUUAUAAAAUUGUGGAUCAUCAAAUCUUCUGCAAGAGCAAGUCCUUUGGGUCACGCUAUAGCCUCCAAAGUUGCUUCAUCGGUUAUCCCUUCUAUCACCAGCGCCGAACUACCAACAUAAUUUCCCAUGUCAUCUCGACAAACAGUCGCGGCAGCUCCUUUGUUAUGAGCCCUUGAUACUGCAGCAUCUACAUGGACCUUCGAGAAACCUGGCGGAGGAGCCUUUGGUCUGACCCUUGCUGGAAUUUGCACACCUCGUGUUAUCUUUGCGUUGGUUGGUAACAUCUCAAGCUCGGAAAUCAAACGUGUGAUGAACUGGUGAGUGGUCUAGGGGCUUUGAAAGAUUUCAUCAUAUAUUGCCUUCCUCCUCGCCCAUCAAAUCACCCAUAGUGUCACUGCCAACCGGGUAAGUGUUGCAUGCGAUACCGAGUCCAACAUGGAGAGUAUCCACUGCUUCGCGUUCGGCUCAGUUGUUUCACAUAGAUAUUCCGCCAGUUCCCCAUUGACCAGAUGUUGAGUAAAUAGGCAAUUUCUCGAUUAAAUUAAUCCACAAAUAAAUUACUAGCAUGGCAUUGACAUAAAUAAACGCAUACUGAUAUUCGGUCAAGCUAGCACAUACUACGCUAAUUGCAGAAAGAUCUACGUAUAACAAUAACAUGGCUAAAACAGAAAACAGUAGGAGCGGGAUAAACGAGUUAUACCCUCCAGUAGGCCAUGGAGAGGCCGCGGCUUUGGUGGCAGCAGCGGCGUCCUCGGCGGCCUUCUUGUCGGCUUUAACUUUCUCGGCGGCGGCACGUUCGGCGUCGGUGGACAUGGUGAUGAUGAAGGCGACGCGGACGUAGAGAAAGUAGACGAUCGGAAGCGAGCAAUCGCGUAAUCGCUGCCCAAAAACCUAUUCGCCCCUCACCCAGUACAGGAACCAGAAGGGCGUGGUUUCGGAGACCUGCUCUCCCGUCGACCGUGUAUGCGGCGGACGGGAUGGAGUCACCGGCGGUAGCAGUAGCAAAGGAACGACGGUGGGAGUGCGCGUGGGAGCAGAUGCGAUCUGUUUGUGGCGGCUAGGGUUAGGAGACACCGCACACUUAUAUAGGCGCAACCGCGUGGAGAGACAUCGGCUCGACCCACGUCCGAGUCCGUGACAGCCCACGAUCCGACGUCUCAGAUCGUGGCCCAGCUGUCAGAGAACUCCCCGCUAGUGACUGGCAAAAAUAAGCGCAUAGGUGUGAACUCGGCUCGGCUCAAUCCCGCAACCCGCGGCGUGGCGAGGCGGGCGGCGGAGGAGGAGUGCGCGAGGGUCUCUUCUCUUCUCAAGCUCCAAUAGCAUGUAGAAGAGAAACCCUUAUAAGGAGGUCCAACUCCUCUUCCACUUCCGGGGUGGGACUAAACUUCCCACUACACCUAGUGCCAUAUAACCCACAUGAGCCCUUAGAGAUUUUUCAAAAAUUGCUAUAUGGGCCUAGAGCCCAUCUCAAAUUUCAGCAACCCCCCACCAGAUCUCGAGGGCCCAUUGUGUCCUCUGUUUCAAUUACUGUUUCAAUAUACCAGUGUUUCAGUGAAGACCUGUUAAGGUUGAGCUUCACCUAGAGCAAGUAGUUACACUCCUUCACAACUGAACAAUGGACUAUACCUUGAAUUGUCAGUUUGGCGUAAAGAAGUUUCACCACAUGUCUUACUAAUACCGGGCUGCCGAAGGCUGACCCCUCGGGUGGAGCAUAUAAGUCACACUCCUGGCCUAUUCAUGAGCUUACUAGAGAUCACCCCAAUCUCAUAGAUUAUGACCAGCAGUCGGGCUCAUAUAGGUGUGUUCCUCCAAAGAUCGCUUUGUAGGAUAGCAUCUUGCUUAUAUAAGCUUCGGAACACAUUAAGACAGUAGUCAUCCUACCAUACAGUAUUGAGAGUAUUGCAUCUCCAACGGAGCGGGUUAGUAUAGUUACUCUCCUCAGUUCACCACUGGCUUGUUUUCCUAGAUCCUAAUUCACGGGAUCUCCGAUCACAUAGGUUGGGUUACUAACAUGGCAACUCAUGUGGGUCUCAUACCCAUCUCCCUCGAUGCAUUAUCUAUCACUACACAUGAUAGCCAUUUCGUAAAGGGAUCUGCCAGAUUCUUAGCAGUAUGGACAUACUCCAACGCUAUCACUCCGGAGUUUCUUAAUUUUCUGACAGCUUUUAAUCUCAUUCUUAUGUGUUUGUUGGACUUCAUGUUGUCCUUUGAACUUUUCACCUUGGUGAUGACAGUCUGAUUAUCACAGUUCAUAAGGAUAGCCAGAACCGGUUUAUCAACCAAUGGCAAGUCCAUCAAAAGAUCUCGAAGCCAUCCUACUUCGACACCAGAUGUGUCUAAUGCUGUUAAUUCUGCUUCCAUUGUCGAUCUCAUUAAGAUUGUUUGCUUGCAAGACUUCCAGGAAACAACGCCACCUCCAAGAGUAAAUAUAUACCCAGUUGUGGCCUUCAUCUCAUCAGCAUCAAAGAUCCAAUUUGCAUCACUAUACCCUUCAAGUACCGACGGGUAUCCGAUAUAGUGAAGUCCAAAGUUCAUAGUACCUUUCAGAUAGCGCAUAACUCUUUCAACAGCAUGCCAAUGUACAUCAUCCGGUUUGGAAACAAACCGACUCAGUUUGCUCAUAGCAAACGCGAUGCCAGGCCUCGUUGUGCUCGCUAGGUACAUCAGUGAAUCAAUGAUUUGAGAGUAUCUCAAUUGAUCUAUAGCCGUGCCUUUGGACUUUCGAAUCAACACGCUAGGAUCAUAUGGUGUUUGAGAUGGUGUGCAGUCCGAAUAUCCAAAAUGACUCAACACCUUCUCAACAUAGUGGGAUUGCAGAAGUGUAAUCCCACCCUCAUUAUCUCUCAGUAGCUUGAUGUUCAAGAUAACAUCAGCCACACCAAGGUCUUUCAUCUCAAAGUUCUGAGACAUAAAUGACUUGACCUCCUCAAUGACUUUGAGGUUGGUUCCGAAUAUCAGUAUGUCAUCAACAUACAAGCACAGUAUAACUCCUUCGCCCCCACCAUGGCGAUAGUAUACACAUUUGUCAGCCUCAUUAACAAUGAAACCAACAGAUGUCAGAGUUGUAUUAAACUUACCAUGCCAUUGCUUAGGUGCUUGCUUCAGGCCAUAUAAAGAUUUCAGCAACCUACACACCUUUCUUUCCUGACCAUUGAUGACCCACAAGUAUAGGGGAUCUAUCGUAGUCCUUUCGAUAAGUAAGAGUGUCGAACCCAAUGAGGAGCAGAAGGAAAUGAUAAGCGGUUUUCAGCAAGGUAUUCUCUGCAAGUACUGAAAUAAGUGGUAACAGAUAGUUUUGUGAUAAGGUAAAUUGUAACAAGCAACAAGUAACAAAAGUAAAUAAAGUGCAGCAAGGUGGCCCAAUCCUUUUGUAGCAAAGGACAAGCCAGAACAAAAUCCUAUGAAAAGCGCCCCCGAGGACACAUGGGAAUAUCGUCAAGCUAGUUUUCAUCAUGUUCAUAUGAUUCGCGUUCGAUACUUUGAUAAUUUGAUAUGUGGGUGGACCGGUGCUUGGGUGUUGUUCUUACUUGAAUAAGCAUCCUACUUAUGAUUAACCUCUAUUGCAAGCAUCCGCAACUACAACAAAAGUAUUAAGGUAAACCUAACCAUAGCAUGAAACAUGUGGAUCCAAAUCAGCCCCUUACGAAGCAACGCAUAAACUAGGGUUUAAGCUUCUGUCACUCUAGCAACCCAUCAUCUACUUAUUACUUCCCAAUGCCUUCCUCUAGGCCCAAAUAAUGGUGAAGUGUUAUGUAGUCGACGUUCACAUAACACCACUAGAGGCUAGACAACAUACAUCUUAUCAAAAUAUCAAAAGAAUACCAAAUUCACAUGACUACUAAUAGCAAGACUUCUCCCUUGUCCUCAGGAACAAACGUAAUUACUCACAAAGCAUAUUCAUGUUCAUAAUCAGAGGGGUAAUAAUAUGCAUAUAGGAUCUGAACAUAUGAUCUUCCACCAAAUAAACCAACUAGCAUCAACUACAAGGAGUAAUCAACACUACUAGCAACCUACUAGCACCAAUCCCGGACUUUGAGACAAGAAUUGGAUACAAGAGAUGAACUAGGGUUUGGAUAUGGAUGGUGCUGGUGAAGAUGUUGAUGGAGAUUGCCCUCUCCCGAUGAGAGGAGCAUUGGUGAUGACGAUGGUGAUGAUUUCCCCCUCCCGGAGGGAAGUGUCCCCGGCAGAACAGCUCUGCCGGAGCCCUAGAUUGGUUCCGCCAAGGUUCCGCCUCGUGGCGGCGGAGUCUCGUCCCGAAAGGUUGCUUCUAAUUUUUUUCUCAUCGAAAGACUUCAUAUAGCAGAAGAUGGACAUCGGAGACCCACCAAGGGGCCCACGAGGUAGGGGGCGCGCCCUAGGAGGGGGGGGGGGCCCACCCUCGUGAGCAGGGUGUGGCCCCCCUGGCCUUCAUCUUUGGCAAGGAUUUUUCUUUGUUUAUUUUAAGAUGUUCCGUGGAGUUUCAUGACUUUUGGAGUUGCGCAGAAUAUGUCUCUAAUAUUUGCUCCUUUUCCAGCCCAGAAUUCCAGCUGCCGGCGUUCUCCCUCUUCAUGUAAACCUUGUAAAAUAAGAGAGAAUAGCCAUAAGUAUUGUGACAUAAAGUGAAAUAACAGCCCAUAAUGCAAUAAAUAUUGAUAUAAAAGCAUGAUACAAAAUGGACGUAUCAACUCCCCCAAGCUUAGACCUCGCUUGUCCUCAAGCGAAAAGCCGAUAACAAUAAAUAUGUCCUCAUGUUUAGAGGUAGAGGCGUCGAUAAAAAUAAAAUACAGACAUGAAGGCAUCAUGAUUAUUCUCAUAACAGCAACGUAUAUAGAUUUUGUCAUAUGAUUACUUAUGUUCAAGUGAUGAUCUAUUCACAAUGCAAAUGUAUAAAUCAUAAACCUUAUUGGGCUCCGACAAACUAUAAUCUCAGUCAUUGAAGCAAUUGCAAUUUAUCAUAACAUCAGAAAGAGUCUAUGUCAAAGCUAAAAAACAAGUACACAUACUCAACUAUCAUUUAGUCCUUCAUAAUUGUUAACACUCACGCAAUACUUGUGGUUAUGAAGUUUUAAUCGGACACAGAGAAAGAUAGGGGCUUAUAGUUUUUCCCCACAACCUUUUACCUCAGGGGUAAUGUCAACAAUAAUAAUUCAUGCUCCCCUACAUCCAAUUAGAUAUAUAUAUGUAUAUAUAUAUAUAUAUAUAUAUACAUAUAUAUCAUGUUCUUUCCAACACGUUGAGCUUGCCAAAGGAUAAAAUGAAAAGGGAAAGGUGAAGAUCACCGUGACUCUUGCAUAAGGUAGAAGAUAAUAAUAAAGGACAUGCCCUUUGCAGAGGGAAGCAGAGGUUGCCAUGCGCUUUUAUAGCUGGAUGCACAAAAUCUCAAUGCGAAAGAAUGUCACUUUAUAUUGCCCCUUGUGAUAUGAACCUUUAUUAUGCAGUCCGUCGCUUUUAUUACUUCCACAUCACAAGAUCGUAUAAAGCUUAUUUCUCCCACACCAAUCAAUCAUACAUAUUUAGAGCAAUUUUUAUUGCUUUGCACCGAUGACAACUUACUUGAAGGAUCUUACCCAAUCCAUAGGUAGAUAUGGUGGACUCUCAUGGAAAAACUGGUUUAAGGGUAUUUAGAAGCACAAGUAGUAUUUCUACUUGGUGCUGAGAAUUUGGCUAGCAUGAGGGGGAAAGGCAAGCUCAACAAGUUAGAGGAUCCAUGAAAAUAUACUUUACCUCAGAUAUAAGAAAGACAUAACUCAUUACGUUGUCUUCCUUGUCCAACAUCAACUCUUUAGCAUGUCAUAUUCUAAUGAGUGCUCCCAAUCAUAAAAGAUGUCAAUGAUAAUAUAUCUAUAUGUGAAACCUCUCUUUCCUUAUUACUUCCUAUUAAUUGCAACGAUGACUAAGGCUAUGUCUACCAACUCCCAACAACUUUUAAUCAUCAUACUCUUUCUAUGUGAAGCCAUUACUCUCAAUAAGAUCAAUAUCAACUCUUUGUUUCUUUCUAUUCUUUUUCUCUUUUAUUUUAUUCACCCAAGAUCAUAGCAAAAUAACCAAGCCCUUGACUCAACACUAAUCUUUAUUAUAUAUAGCUCACGGACUCAAUUACAAAGAGAGAUCAUAAGGCAAAACUCAAAACUAGAUCAUGCGAUAAACUUUAUUCUACUAGAUCAAGAUACUACUAUUAGGAUCGAACUAAGAAAAACGGUAAAGAUAGGAGUUGUGAUUGUGAUACGAUACCGGGGCACCUCCCCCAAGCUUGGCAGUUGCCAAGGGGAGUACCCAUACCCAUGUGAUUAUUUCUCCUUUGUCGGUGAAGAAGGUGGUGGUGAUGUUGGCUUAGUUGAUGGCUUAGGCUUCUCCCUUAAUUUGCGCUUGAGGACGACAUUUUGAUCCCUCAGAUCAUCAAUCUCCCACUUCAGUGUUAAUAUCUUUUUGCAUAGGUCCUGCUUAUUUUCCUGCAAGAGAUGAAAAGGGAUAAACUCGAACUUUGGUUUCUUUACCCUAUCAGGGAGACUUGACUUUUUGAACUCCACGUGCAUGUACCCAUGUUGAGGUAAUGGUGCUUCAUCUUCAUCUGAGCUCGUCUCCUCCUUCCCCUUGGGUUUAUAGUCCUUUUCUUCCUCCGUGGUCCAUCCAUCGUGUUCCACAUCUCCAUAGACCUUGGGAUUUGCUAAGUAAUCAUCCACAUAGCUUUCUCCUUCCGAAUCCUGGGAAGACAUGUUGAUUUAAUCUGCAACGGGACAGCUUGAAACGAAAACAGAGGAUAUUUGCGUGAUACGGGAGUCAAAACCUUCGCGAGGUUAUAUAAUGAAUUUUCACCGACCAAAAUACGUAUCGUGCAAGAAAAUGAAGUCCGGAAGGCACACGAGGUGCUCACGAGGUAGGGGGGCGCGCCCAAAGGGGUAGGGCGCGCCCACCACCCUCGUGUCCUUCCCGGACUGCUACUUAUUUUUCUAUUUUUCUAAAUAUUCCAAAACAGAGAAAUAUUGCCUUCAAAAUUGUUUUGGAGCCGGUUUACUUACCGUACCACAUACCUAUUCCUUUUCGGAGUCUGAAACAUUCCGGAAAGUGUCCCUUAUGUAUUCCUCCGGGGUUACGAUUUCAAUAAUAUUGGUUUCAACAUUUAUGGGAUUACCUGAGAUAUAAUGUUUGAUUCUUUGACCGUUUACCACCUUCGGAUUUGUGCCCUCGAAGUUGUUGAUUUUUAUGGCACCGAAACGAUAGACCUCCUCGAUAACAUAGGGGCCUUCCCAUUUAGAGAGAAGUUUUCCUGCAAAAAAUCUUAAACGAGAGUUGUAUAGCAAUACAUAAUCACCUACAUUAAACUCACGCUUUUGUAUCCUUUUGUCAUGCCAUCUUUUAACUUUUUCUUUAAACAACUUGGCAUUUUCAUAAGCUUGGGUUCUCCAUUCAUCAAGUGAGCUAAUAUCAAAUAACCUCUUCUCACCGGCAAGUUUGAAAUCAUAGUUAAGCUCUUUAAUAGCCCAAUAUGCCUUAUGUUCUAGUUCGAGAGGUAAGUGACAUGCUUUUCCAUAAAUCAUUUUAUACGGAGACAUACCCAUAGGAUUUUUGUAUGCAGUUCUAUAUGCCCAUAAUGCAUCAUCAAGUUUCUUAGACCAAUUCUUUCUAGACCUAUUAACAGUCUUUUGCAAAAUUAAUUUGAGCUCUCUAUUGCUCAACUCUACUUGACCACUAGACUGUGGGUGAUAAGGAGAUGCAAUUCUAUGAUUAACAUCAUAUUUAGCAAGCAUUUUACGGAAGGCACCAUGAAUAAAGUGUGAACCACCAUCAAUCAUUAAAUAUAUAGGGACUCCAAACCUCGGAAAAAUAACUUCCUUGAGCAUUUUAAUAGAAGUGUUAUGAUCAGCACUACUAGUUGGAAUAGCUUCUACCCACUUAGUAGCGUAAUCAACAACAACUAAAAUAUGUGCGUAUCCAUUAGAGGCAGGAAAAGGUCCCAUAUAAUCAAAGCCCCAAACAUCAAAUGGUUUAAUAACAAGUGAAUAAUUCAUAGGCAUUUCUUGACGUCUACUAAUAUUACCAACUCUUUGACAUUCAUCACAAGACAAGACAAACUCACGGGCAUCCUUGAAGAGAGUAAGCCAAUAAAAACCAAAUUGCAAUACCUUAUGUGCAGUUCUAUCUCCAGCAUGGUGUCCUCCAUAAGCCUCGGAAUGACACUUGCGUAGGAUCUGUUCUUGUUCAUGCUCAGGUACACAACGUCUAAUAACACCAUCUACUCCUUCUUUAUAAAGAUGUGGGUCAUCCCAAAAGUAAUGUCUCAAGUCAUAGAAAAACGUUUUCUUUUGCUGGUAUGUGAAGCUAGGUGGUAUAAACUUAGCAACAAUAUAAUUAGCAUAAUCAACAUACCAUGGAGUACUACGAGAAGUACUUAUAACAUUUAAUUGUUCAUCAGGAAAGCUAUCAUUAAUAGGUAGUGGGUCAUCAAGAACAUUCUCUAACCUAGACAAGUUGUCUGCAACGGGGUUCUCAGCUCCCUUUCUAUCAACAAUAUGCAAAUCAAAUUCUUGUAGCAAGAGAACCCAUCUAAUAAGUCUAGGCUUAGCAUCUUUCUUUUCCAUAAGGUAUUUAAUAGCAGCAUGAUCAGUGUGAAUAGUUACUUUAGAAUCAACAAUAUAAGGUCUGAACUUAUCACAAGCAAAUACAACUGCUAAAAGCUCUUUUUCAGUAGUAGCAUAAUUUCUUUGAGCAUUGUCUAGAGUCUUACUAGCAUAAUGAAUAACAUUUAAUUUCUUAUCAACUCUUUGCCCUAGAACAACACCUACAACAUAAUCACUAGCAUCACACAUAAUUUCAAAGGGUAAAUUCCAAUCAGGUGGCUGAACAACAGGUGCAGAGACUAAUGCUUUCAUAAGUAUUUCAAAUGCUUCUACACAAUCAUCAUCAAAGACAAAUGGUAUAUCUUUUUGCAAUAAAUUAGUCAGAGGUCGAGAAAUUUUUGAGAAAUCCUUAAUGAACCUCCUGUAAAAUCCGGCGUGACCAAGGAAACUUCUUAUACCUUUGAUGUCCUUGGGACAUGGCAUCUUUUCAAUAGCAUCGACCUUGGCUUUAUCAACUUCAAUACCUCUUUCAGAAACUUUAUGCCCCAAGACAAUACCUUCAUUAACCAUAAAGUGGCACUUUUCCCAAUUCAAGACAAGAUUAGUUUCUUCACAUCUCUGCAAAACUCGAUCAAGAUUGCUCAAGCAAUCAUCAAAAGAGGAACCAUAGACGGAAAAAUCAUCCAUGAAAACCUCACAAAUCUUUUCACAAAAGUCAGAGAAUAUAGCCAUCAUGCAUCUUUGAAAGGUAGCAGGUGCAUUACAUAAACCAAAAGGCAUACGUCUAUAAGCAAAAGUACCAAAAGGGCAUGUAAAAGUAGUCUUUGAUUGAUCUCUAGCCGACACAGGUAUUUGAGAGAAACCAGAAUAACCAUCAAGAAAGCAAUAGUGUGUAUGUUUGCAUAAUCUUUCUAGCAUUUGAUCAAUAAAAGGUAAGGGGUAAUGAUCUUUCUUAGUAGCUUUAUUUAAUUUGCGGAAAUCAAUUACCAUCCUAUAACCUGUGAUAAUUCUUUGUGGAAUCAAUUCAUCUUUAUCAUUAGGAACAACAAUAAUACCUCCCUUCUUAGGGACACAAUGGACAAGACUUACCCACUGAUUAUCAGCAACGGGAUAAAUUAUACCUGCCUCCAGAAGCUUGAGUAUUUCUUUUCUUACCACUUCUUUCAUUUUAGGAUUCAGACGUUGAGGGAGUCCUGGAUUAGGGGGUGUCCAGAUAGCCGGACUAUACCUUCAGCCGGACUCCUGGACUAUGAAGAUACAAGAUUGAAGACUUCGUCCCGUGUCCGGAAGGGACUUUCCUUGGCGUGGAAGGCAAGCUUGGCGAUACGGAUAUGUAGAUAUCCUACCAUUGUAACCGACUCUGUGUAACCCUAACCAUUUCCGAUGUCUAUAUAAAUCGGAGGGUUUUAGUCCAUAGGACAGAACAACAAUCAUACCAUAGGCUAGCUUCUAGGGUUUAGCCUCCUUGAUCUCGUGGUAGAUCUACUCUUGUAAUACCCAUAUCAUCAAUAUUAAUCAAGCAGGACAUAGGGUUUUACCUCCAUCAAGAGGGCCCGAACCUGGGUAAAACAUCGUGUCCCCUGCCUCCUGUUACCAUCCGCCUAGACGCACAGUUCGGGACCCCCUACCCGAGAUCCGCCGGUUUUGACACCGACAUUAGUGCUUUCAUUGAGAGUUCCUCAGUGUCGUCACUUUUAGGCCCGAUGGCUCCUCCGAUCAUCAAUAGCGACAUAGUCCUGGGUGAGACCUUUCUCCUCGGACAUAUCUUCGUCUUCGGCGGCUUUGCACUGCGGGCCAAUUCUCUUGGCCAUCUGGAGCAGAUCGAAAGCUAUGCCCCUAGCCGUCAGGUCAGAUUUGGAAGUUUAAACUACACGGCUGACAUCCGCGGGGACUUGAUCUUCGACGGAUUCGAGCCACUGCCGAGCGCGCCACACUGUCAUGACGGGCAUGAUCUAGCUCUACCGCCGAACAGUGCCCUGGAGGCCGCACCCGCAUCGGCUUCGACCCUUAAUUCAGAGCCAACUGCGCCGAUCGAGGAUGGGUGGUUGGACGCCACCUCGGGGGCUGCGAUCCCAACGAUGAUCGAGCCGAACACCAGCCUCACACUCCACGAGGCUCGUGACUCCAAGGAGCCGGACUCCUCUCCGGACUCCGAGCCCUCCGCGCCCCUGCCGAUCAAAUCCGAUUGGGCGCCGAUCAUGGAGUUUACCGCCGCGGACAUCUUUCAGCACUCGCCUUUCGGCGAUAUUCUGAAGACACUAAAGUCUCUCUCUUUAUCAGGAGAGCCCUAGCCGGACUACGUUCAGCAAGGUUGGGAUACGGACGAUGAAGAAAUUCAAAGCCCACCCACCACCCACUUUGUAGCCACUGUCGACGAUUUAACCGACAUGCUCGACUUUGACUCCAAAGACAUCGACAGUAUGGACGCCAAUGCAGGAGACGAUCAAGAACCAGCGCCUAUAGGGCACUGGAAAGCCACCUCGUCAUAUGACAUAUACAUGGUGGACACCCCAAAAGAAGGAGAUGGUGAUGGAACAGCGGAGGAUGACCCCUCCAAGAAACAGCCUAAGCGCCGGCGUCAGCGGCGCCGCUCAAAAUCCCGCCAAAGCAAAUACGGCGAUUCCGGCAUGGGAGAUAAUAAUACUCCGGAGAGUGCCGAAGAAAACCCCCUCCAGCAGGAUUCAGCACAGGAGGAUGGAGAAGCUAGCCCUCAUGAGAGAGCGGCAGAUAGAGAGGUCGAGGACGAUAAUUAUAUGCCUCCCUCCGAAGACGAGGCAAGCCUCGACAACGACGAAUUCGUCGUGCCAGAGGAUCCCGUCGAGCAAGAGCAUUUUCAACGCAGACUUAUGGCCAUGGCAAGCAGCCUCAAGAAAAAACAGCAACAACUUAGAGCUGAUCAAGAUUUGCUAGCCGACAGAUGGACUGAAGUCCUCGCGGUCGAAGAGUAUGAACUCGAACGCCCCUCCAAGAGCUACCAAAGCGCAGGUUGCUACCCCGAUUAGAGGAGGAAGCACCUAAACCUACAUCACCAGCACAUGAUACAGCCGACCGGCCACCUCGUGGCCAUGACAGAGAGGCCCCUCGGCCCUCCACUCAAGCCGCACCCCGUACCAAGGCACGGGAAAAUGCGCCAGACCUGCAAGAUAUAUUGGAGGACAAGGCAAGGCAAACAAGAUCGAUCUACGGAUCGUGUGGGCGCCCCACGACUCGAGACGAUAACCGUCACGCCGGAUACAGCAAAUCCGGUAGGGCCGAACACAACAGACAAAGCUCAUUUGAGCUAUGUCAUGAUAUAGCCCAGUACAGAGGCGCCGCACACCCACUAUGCUUCACAGAUGAAGUAAUGGAUCAUCAAAUCCCCGAGGGUUUCAAACCCGUAAACAUCGAAUCAUAUGAUGGCACAACAGAUCAUGCGGUAUGGAUCGGGGAUUAUUUCCUUCAUAUCCACAUGGCCCGUGGCGAUGAUCUACACGCCAUCAAAUACCUCCCACUCAAGCUUAAAGGACCAGCUCGGCAUUGGCUUAACAGCUUGCCAGCAGAAUCAAUCAGUUGUUGGGAGGACCUGGAAGCCGCAUUCCUCGACAAUUUCCAGGGCACUUAUGUGCGAUCACCAGAUGCGGAUGACCUAAGCCACAUAAUUCAGCAGCCAGAGGAAUCGGCCAGGCAAUUCUGGACACGGUUCCUAACAAAGAAAAACCAAAUAGUCGACUGUCCGGACGCAGAGGCCCUAGCAGCCUUCAAGCACAAUAUCCGUGACGAGUGGCUUGCCCGACACCUUGGACAGGAAAAGCCGAAAUCCAUGGCAGCGCACGACACUCAUGACUCGCUUUUGCGCAGGAGAAGACAGCUGGCUUGCUCGUAGCAACAAUAUGACCAAGAACCCUGGUAAUUCGGAUACCAGAGACAGUAGUGGCAGGUCACGUCGCAACAAGCAGAAGCACCGCAUUAACAGCGACAAGGCUGAGGAUACGGCAGUUAAUGCCGGAUUCAGAGGCUAUAAAUCCGGUCAGCGGAAAAAGCCAUUCAAAAGAAAUACUCAGGGCCCGUCCAGUUUGGACCGAAUACUCGACCGCUUGUGCCAGAUACAUGGCACCCUCGAAAGGCCGGCCAAUCACACCAACAGGGAUUGUUGGGUGUUCAAGCAGGCAGGCAAGUUAAAUGCCGAAAAUAAAGACAAGGGGCUGCAUAGCGAUGAUGAUGAAGAGCCCUGGCCGCCGAACAAUAGUGGACAGAAGGGUUUUCCCCCACAAGUGCGGACGGUGAACAUGAUAUACGCAACCCACAUCCCCAAGAGGGAGCGGAAGCGCGCGUUAAGGGACGUAUACGCGAUGGAGCCAGUCGCCCCAAAGUUCAACCCAUAGUCCUCCUGCCCGAUCACCUUUGAUCGAAGGGACCACCGCACUAGCAUCCGUCAUGGCAGAUUUGCCGCAUUGGUUCUAGACCCAAUUAUUGACGGAUUCCAUCUCACUAGAGUCCUUAUGGACGGCGGCAGUAGCCUGAACCUGCUUUACCAGGAUACAGUGCGGAAAAUGGGCAUAGAUCCCUCGAGGAUUAAGCCCACCAAAACAACCUUUAAAGGCGUCAUACCAGGUGUAGAGGCCAACUGUACAGGCUCAGUUACACUUGAAGUGGUCUUCGGAUCUCCGGAUAAUUUCCGAAGUGAGGAGUUAAUCUUCGACAUAGUCCCGUUCCGCAGUGGCUAUCACGCACUGCUUGGGCGAACCGCAUUUGCCAAGUUCAAUGCGGUACCGCACUACGCAUACCUUAAGCUCAAGAUGCCAGGCCCUCGAGGAGUAAUUACGGUCAAUGGAAACACCGAACGCUCCCUCCGAACGGAGGAGCACACGGCGGCCCUUGCAGCGGAAGUACAAAGCAGCCGCUCCAGGGAGUUCUCCAGUCUGGCCAUUAAAUGUUCGGACACCGUCAAGCACGCCCGGAGUAACCUACAACAAGACCGCCUGGCACGUUCCGAGCAGGCGUAGCAAUGCGGCCCCAACUCCAGCCCUCGCGAAAAUGCGACACCAGUGCUUCGCGUACAUAACUACGCUCUAGAAAUACCAUGGGUACAGGGGGAGGGGCACCAUCACGGCACGCCCGAAACACGGCUUAAACCGCACUAGGGGCUGCCGAUUUUUUAAUUUUCUCUUACUUUCAGGACUUCAUUCUUCGGAAGGCCUGUCCGGCAGUACAAUUGCCGCACAAAUGAUGCAAGAACCAGGGAAGCAGACAAGCCACGCCGCAUUACGGAACUCCCAGGUGGUCUCUAUCACGAGCAGUAUACCGGUUUCGCAUACCAUUCCGCAGCCUGCCCCUGGAACGGACAUGUUAAAUAGUCCAAUCUUUUGCUUAUCGCGUUAUUUGUAUCGUUCUCCCUUGAUCGCAACCCUUUUUAAUAAAAAAUGCAUAGCUUUUGUCUAUUUUUGCAUUACUCUUUUUUACAAAUAUAUGUUCAUUAAUGACAUGUUGCACCCGUACACUUUGGUACGGCCAAAAUACGUCAGGGGCUUUAGUAUCCCUCAAUAUGGUGUGAGAAGCCCGAACACUUUAACAAGUGCGGCACCCCGAACUUAUAGCAUUAUAUGCAUCGGCUGCGAAUCAUGUCUAGGGUCAAUAGUUGGGUUUGCCCGGCUCCUAUGUUUUGGUGCCUUACAUUCCGCUAUAUCGGCUAAGGUAGCACUAGGAGAACUACUGCGAUUGUGCCCCAGUUGAGCUGGGCUGAGCACCUCAGUAGAGAAAGCUAAAACUGACUGUCAUGAUGAAGCGAGAGCUAGUCGCUGUUCGAGAGGUUUUUCGAGUCCCUAAAGACUUAUGCCGCUUAGAGCGAGGAGUCGGCUCUGUCCGGCCAAGGCGUGAUAGCGCCCCAAACUCGGUCUUCCGAAUAGCAGGGGCUUCGCCGAAAUUUAAAAUUAUAGAAUUCUAUGGCUAAGUGAGAGUGUUCAAGCAUUAUAGUCCGAUUGCCUUGUUCGUUGUGCUGAGCGCCUCCCUCGAAGGACCCAAACAUGGGAAAAAGAGCGCUCACGUUUAUCCCGAACACCCCAGCACUAGUGGCACGGGGGCAGAAGCCGACGACUCGCCAUCUCUCAAAAUUGAUAAACGGCCACACAGAAGGUAAUAUUUUAAAUUCCAAAAGCAUUGCUUAGCGCAUAUGAACAAGUUUUCAGCGCAUAGGACAAAACGAGCGAGUUUUACUCAAAAAUUACAUCCCUGGAACAUUCAUCCGCCAUAAGGCGGGCACCCUUCAGAACGUCCUUAUAAUAAUUCUCGGGCUUGCGAUGCUCUUUCCCCGACGGUGGCCCGUCCUUCACAAGCUUCUCAUCAUCCAGCUUGCCCCAGUGCACCUUAGCGCGGGCAAGGGCCCUACGGGCACCUUCGAUGCAGACGGAGCGCUUGAUGACUUCGAGCCUUGGAUAGGCCUCCACCAGCCGCCGCACCAGCCCGAAGUAGCUCCCAGGCAGAGCCUCUCCAGGCCACAGCCGAACUAUGAGGCCCUCCAUGGCCUGUUCGGCCACCUUGUGGAGCUCGACCAGUUGCUUCAGUUGGUCGCUCAGGGGCACGGGGUGUUCGGCCUCAGCAUAUUGAGACCAGAACACCUUCUCCGUCGAGCUGCCCUCCUCGGCUCGGUAGAAUGCGGCGGCAUCGGACACACUAUGGGGAAGAUCUGCGAAUGCUCCUGGAGAGCUCCGGAUUCGGGGUAAGUAACAAGUAACUCACUUUUAUAUGUUUGCUUUGCAUAAAGAAUGCCUUACCCGCCGCUAUCUUUUUCACCGCAUCCAACUCCUGGAGGGCCUUCUGGGAUUCGGCCUUGGCAGACUUGGCAUUUUCAAUAGCCGCCGCGAGCUCGGACGCUCGCGUCUUUGAGUCAAGCUCCAAACUCUCAUGCUUUUUCAUGAGAGCCUCGAGCUCUUGCCGCACCUCGCCAACCUGGGCCUCAUACUUCUCCCGCUCGGUGCGCUCCAUGGCCGCCCUCUUCUCGGCCUCGGACAGCGCUUGCUUAAGGGUCGCCACCUCAGAUGUGGCCCCUACAAUAGCCACGAUAAUCCUGCAUUUUUUGCAAUUGCACUUUUUUAUAUAUUUAAACAAGGUAUUUCUUACCUUCUUUGUCCUCGAGCUGCUUCUUGGCAAGCCCGAGCUCUUGCUCGGACUGCUCGAGGUUCUGCUUUAGCGUGUCCACUUCCGCAGUCAGUGCGGCAGACGCCAGCAGAGAAGCCUACAUACGCAUAUUGACUCCUUUUUGUUAGACUCCUGCGAGUUUUAUUUGAUCCUCUAUUCGGAUUUUCUUCCCGAACGCCAAAUAGAGCAUCAGGGGCUACUGUCUAUGCGGUAAUAUUUUUUUACACAUUCUUUACUUACCUCAAAGCCUGUUAAAAGGCUGACACAAGCUUCAGUUACUCCGCUCUUGGCGGAAUGAACCUUCUGGACCACCACACUCAUAAUGGUGCGGUGCUCCUCGUCGAUGGAGGCGCCUUUAAGCACCUCCAAUAGAUUGUCCGGCGCCUCCGGUUGGACGGGGGUCACCGGCUCGGUGGGCUUGCUCCUCUUGGAAGGAGGUCGCCCGCCGGACUCUGGAACCUUUGAAGGUACCGGAGUGGUGUCCGGCCUAGGGCCGGACUUGGAGCCCUGGGGAGAUCCAUCCCCUUUACUCCUGGAGUCCGGGAGGUCGCAUUGCGGCUCCUCUAGGAUCACCCUCUCCUGGCUUGGAACCUGUUAGGACGCCACCCCGGCAUCGUCCGUAGGGCGGGGGGAGGUAGCGGGCGGAAGUGAAUUCACGUCUGACGAAUCCAGGGAGCCGCUCGAUGACUCGUCGAGCCCGGCCUUGGGCGGACUGCAUAGAUAUAUUCGACAUAAGGAGAAGCUGUGCAAUAAAGGGACACUACGAGUUACUCUGGUGUCCGAACACUUACGAUCUCGCCGGGCGCUUGGCCCUGUGCGGCCACUCCUCUUCGCCGUCGUCGGCAUUGGUGGAGUAGUCCGAAGGAAGGGUCUUCCCCUUCUUGGACCCUUCGGCCUCCCCGGUCGGGGCGGCCUUCCUCUUCUUUCCCCCCUCCGCUGGGGGGAGGUUUCUUCUUCAUCCUCCUCGUUUUCAUGGGAGGAGUGCGUCUCGGAGCCGUCGGAUGAUGAAUCCGACACCUCCAGGCGCCAAGCACUCUUUCGAGUCCCUGUGGCCUUCUUCUUGGCCUUCUUCUCCGGCACCACAUAGGGUGCCAGAACCAGCAGCUUCGCCAAGCGAGCAUCAGCUGGGUCUUCGGGCAAAGGAGCCGGACAGUCGAUCUGUCCGGACUUCGCCUGCCAGUCCUGUCAAAGGUAAGGGAGCUUAGAUCCCGCAUAGAGUCAAACUAUGAAAAACUAAUACCCUGUAAAAGGUACAAAUAGCUUACCGCACUAGCGUGACGCUGUGUGCUGAAUCCGCGGUCCUUGGAAGCGGAUGCGGGAGCCUCGGCGCCCUUGAAAAGCACCUUCCAGGCAUCUUCGUACGACGUGUCAAAGAGCCUGCUCAGAGUUCAAUGCUGCGCCAGGUUGAACUCCCACAGAUUGAAGGCCCGUUGUUGACACGGGAGGAUCCGGCGGAUGAGCAUAACCUGGACUACGUUGACAAGCUUGAGCUGCUUGUUCACCAGGGUUUGGAUGCAUUUUUGCAGUCCAGUCACCUCUUCUUUGCUGCCCCAUGACAGGCCCGUCUCUUUCCAGGACGCGAGCCGCGUUGGGGGUCUAGACCGGAACUCGGGGGCUACGACCCACUCAGGGUCGCGCGGCUCGGUGAUGUAAAACCACCCCGAUUGCCACCCCUUUAGGGUCUCCAUAAAGGAGCCCUCGAGCCAUAGGACAUUGGGCAUCUUGCCCGCCAUGGUGCCUCCGCACUCCGCCUGGUUGUCGCGCACCACCUUCGGCUUGACAUUGAAAGUCUUGAGCCAUAGGUAGAAAUGGGGGCGGAUGCAGAGGAAAGCCUCGCACACGACGAUAAACGCCGAGAUGUUGAGGAUGAAGUUCGGGGCCAGAUCGUGGAAAUCCAGGCCGUAGUAGAACAUGAGUCCCCGGACGAAUGGGUGGAGAGGAAAGCCCAGUCCGCGGAGGAAGUGGGGAAGGAACACUACCCUCUCAUGGGGCCUUGGGGUAGGGAGGAGCUGCCCCUCUUCGGGAAGCCGGUGCGUGAUGUCGUCAGACAAGUAUCCGGCCUUCCUUAGUUUUUUGAUAUGUCCCUUCGUGACGGAGGAGACCAUCCACUUGCCUCCCGCUCCGGACAUGACUGGAGAAGGUCGAGGUGGGGAAUGCGGGCUUGGGCGCUAGAGCUCGAGUGCGUGGAAGAUGGAUAGGCAAAGGAGGAAGAAGGCGUAGGUAAAAAGGUGGAUCCUUAUCCCCUUAUAUAUGGGCGGAUGCGGCUAUGCGUCCCCACUAGCCUGAUAAAACUUGCUUAUCUCCCAAGCGCCGUAAUCAAUGGCGUGGUUGGGUUACCCACGUCCGUAUUGAUGAGAAUCCCGCAAAUAAAGGGAACACGAUCUCUGCUUUGACAAGACGUGCCAAGGAAACCGCCUAGCGAAACACGCUGAGGUGGGAGGGGGUAAAAACGAUUCGAAUAAAGGCUUGGUCGUAGUGUGAUGUCAUGCUACGGAAUACGUCAGCAGAUUAGAUUUGUGUAAAUAUUAUUCUCUCUACGACAAUAUAUGGAAACUUAUUUUGCAGAGCCGGACACUAUCCUUUGUGUUCAAAAUCUUCUAUGAAGUACUUGGGGGAGGAACCCGCCUUGCAAUAUCGAAGACAAUCUGCGCGCCGGACUCAUCAUCAUUAAAGCCUGGUUCAGGGGCUACUGAGGGAGUCCUGGAUUAGGGGGUGUCCGGAUAGCCGGACUAUACCUUCAGUCAGACUCCUGGACUAUGAAGAUACAAGAUUGAAGACUUCGUCCCGUGUCCGGAAGGGACUUUCCUUGGCGUGGAAGGCAAGCUUGGCGAUACGGAUAUGUAGAUCUCCUACCAUUGUAACCGACUCUGUGUAACCCUAACCCUCUCCGGUGUCUAUAUAAACCAGAGGGUUUUAGUCCAUAGGACAGAACAACAAUCAUACCAUAGGCUAGCUUCUAGGGUUUAGCCUCCUUGAUCUCGUGGAGGAUCUACUCUUGUAAUACCCAUAUCAUCAAUAUUAAUCAAGCAGGACAUAGGGUUUUACCUCCAUCAAGAGGGCCCGAACCUGGGUAAAACAUCGUGUCCCCUGCCUCCUGUUACCAUCCACCUAGACGCACAGUUCGGGACCCCCUACCCAAGAUCCGCCGGUUUUGACACCGACAGACGCCGUUGAGGAUCACGAACUGGUUUGGCAUCUGCUUCCAAAUUUAUUUUAUGUUAACAUAGAGUGGGACUAAUGCCCUUAAGAUCAUCAAGAGUAUAUCCAAUAGCAGCACGAUGCUUCUUCAGAGUUUUCAAUAAUCUUUCUUCUUCAUGCUCUGAAAGGUUAGCACUAAUAAUAACAGGAUAUAUCUUCUUUUCAUCAAGAUAAGUAUAUUUAAGAUUAUCAGGCAACGGUUUAAGCUCGAACAUGGGAUCACCCUUGGGUGGAGGAGGAUCCCCUAAAAUUUCAACAUGCAAAUUGUGUUGCAGAAUAGGUUCCUGUUUAAAGAAUACUUCAUCUAUUUCCCUUCUUUCAUUCAUGAACAUAUCAUUUUCAUGGUCUAGCAAAUAGUGUUCUAAAGGAUCACUAGGAGGUACGGCAAUAGAAGCAAGACCAAUAAUCUCAUCCUUACUAGGUAAUUCUUCCUCACGAUGUUGUUUACUAAAUUUAGAAAAAUUAAACUCAUGAACCAUAUCAUCCAAGCCAAUAGUAACAACAUUCUUUUCGCAAUCUAUCCUAGCAUUAACAAUGCUCAAGAAGGGUCUACCAAAUAUAAUGGGACAAAAGCUAUCUUGCGGAGAAGUUAGAACAAGAAAAUCAGCAGGAUAUUUAGUUUUCCCACACAAGACUUCAACAUCUCUAACAAUUCCAAUUGGUGAAAUAGUAUCUCUAUUGGCAAGUUUAAUUGUGACAUCAAUACCUUCUAACUCAGCAGGUGCAAUUUCAUUCUUAAUUUCUUCGUAUAAGGUAUGCAGUAUAACACUAGCACUCACACCCAUAUCACAUAAGCCAUAAUAACAAUGAUCUCAUAUUUUAACAGAAAUAACAGGCACGCCUACCACAGGUCUAUGUCUAUCUUUAGCACAAGGUUUAGCAAUUCUAGCAGUUUCACCUUCGAACUGAAUAACAUGCCCAUCAAUAUUAUCAGACAAGAGAUCUUUAACAAUAGCAAUAUUAGGUUCUACUCUAACUUGCUCAGGAGGUGUAUAAGUUCUAAUAUUGCUUUUACAAACAACAAUUGAAGCUUUAGCAUGAUCCUUUACUCUAACAGGGAAAGGUGGUUUCUCAACAUAAGAAGUAGGAACAAUAGGAUCAUUAUAAGUGACAGUCUUUUCUUCAACUUUAAUAGGUGCAGCUACUUUUACUUCUAUGGGAGGAUGAUAUUUAAACCACUUCUCCUUAGGGAGAUCAACAUAAGUAGCAAAAGAUUCAUAGAAAGAAGCUACUAUCUCAGAGUCAAGUCCACAUUUAGUGCUAAACUUACGGAAAAUAUCGGUGUCCAUAAAAGAUUUAACACAAUCAAAUUUAGGUGUCAUACCUGACUCUUUACCUUCGUCGAGGUCCCAAUCUUCAGAGUUGCGUUUAAUUCUAUCCAAUAAAUUCCAUCUGAAUUCAAUAGUAUUCAUCAUAAAAGAGCCAGCACAAGAAGUAUCGAGCAUGGUGCGAUUGUUAUCAGAAAGCCAAUCAUAUAAAUUUUGAAUAAUCAUUUCUCUUGAGAGCUCAUGAUUGGGGCAUGAAUAUAACAUUGAUUUAAGCCUCCCCAAGCUUGAACGAUGCUUUCUCCUUCGCGAGGCCAAAAAUUAUAUAUAUAAUUGCGAUCACGAUGAACAAGAUGCAUAGGGUAAUACUUUUGAUGAAAUUUCAAUUUCAAUCUUUUAUAGUUCCAUGAUCUCAUAUCAUCACAUAGCCUAUACCAUAUCAAUGUGUCUCCCUUCAAAGAUAAAGGGAAGACCUUCUUCUUAGCAACAUCAUCGGGUAUACCUACAAGCUUAAAUAAUCCACAAACUUCAUCCACAUAUAUUAAGUGCUCAUCAGGAUGCUUUGUUCCAUCUCCUGUAAAAAGUUUAGCUAGCAGUUUUUCCAUCAUACCCGAAGGAAAUUCAAAAGGAGUUUCAUUUUCAAUAGGUUAAGUAGGUUGAGGAGCAACUCUUUGCUCUACUGGACGGGGUGAAGAUACCCCGAACAAGCCCCUCAGAGAAUUACUUUCCAUAGUAACAAGUGACAGUAAAUUUCAGCACACUAUAUAAUUUUUUCCUUACCAAAUUCCACCUACCAAAGGCGCUACACUCCCCGGCAACGGCGCCAGAAAAGAGUCUUGAUGACCCACAAGUAUAGGGGAUCUAUCGUAGUCCUUUCGAUAAGUAAGAGUGUCGAACCCAACGAGGAGCAGAAGGAAAUGAUAAGCGGUUUUCAGCAAGGUAUUCUCUGCAAGUACUGAAAUAAGUGGUAACAGAUAGUUUUGUGAUAAGGUAAAUUGUAACGAGCAACAAGUAACAAAAGUAAAUAAAGUGCAGCAAGGUGGCCCAAUCCUUUUGUAGCAAAGGACAACCCAGAACAAACUCCUAUAUAAGGAAAAGCGCUCCCGAGGACACGUGGGAAUAUCGUCAAGCUAGUUUUCAUCAUGUUCAUAUGAUUCGCGUUCGAUACUUUGAUAAUUUGAUAUGUGGGCAGACCGGUGCUUGGGUGCUGUUCUUACUUGAACAAGCAUCCCACUUAUGAUUAACCUCUAUUGCAAGCAUCCGCAACUACAACAAAAGUAUUAAGGUAAACCUAACCAUAGCAUGAAACAUGUGGAUCCAAAUCAGCCCCUUACGAAGCAACGCAUAAACUAGGGUUUAAGCUUCUGUCACUCUAGCAACCCAUCAUCUACUUAUUACUUCCCAAUGCCUUCCUCUAGGCCCAAAUAAUGGUGAAGUGUUAUGUAGUUGACGUUCACAUAACACCACUAGAGGCUAGACAACAUACAUCUUAUCAAAAUAUCAAACGAAUACCAAAUUCACAUGACUACUAAUAGCAAGACUUCUCCCUUGUCCUCAGGAACAAACGUAAUUACUCACGAAGCAUAUUCAUGUUCAUAAUCAGAGGGGUAAUAAUAUGCAUAUAGGAUCUGAACAUAUGAUCUUCCACCAAAUAAACCAACUAGCAUCAACUACAAGGAGUAAUCAACACUACUAGCAACCUACUAGCACCAAUCCCGGACUUUGAGACAAGAAUUGGAUACAAGAGAUGAACUAGGGUUUGGAGAUGAGAUGGUGCUGGUGAAGAUUUUGAUGGAGAUUGCCCUCUCCCGAUGAGAGGAGCGUUAGUGAUGACGAUGGUGAUGAUUUCUCCCUCCCGGAGGGAAGUGUCCCCGGUAGAACAGCUCUGCCGGAGCCCUAGAUUGGUUCCGCCAAGGUUCCGCCUCAUGGCGGCGGAGUCUCGUCCCGAAAGGUUGCUUCUAAUUUUUUUCUCAUCGAAAGACUUCAUAUAGCAGAAGAUGGACGUCGGAGACCCACCAGGGGGCCCACGAGGUAGGGGGCGCGCCCUAGGAGGGGGGCACCCCCCCACCCUCGUGAGCAGGGUGUGGGCCCCCUGGCCUUCAUCUUUGGCGAGGAUUUUUCUUUAUUUAUUUUAAGAUGUUCCGUGGAGUUUCAGGACUUUUGGAGUUGCGCAGAAUAGGUCUCUAAUAUUUGCUCCUUUUCCAGCCCGAAUUCCAGCUGCCGGCAUUCUCCCUCUUCAUGUAAACCUUGUAAAAUAAGAGAGAAUAGCCAUAAGUAUUGUGACAUAAAGUGAAAUAGCAGCCCAUAAUGCAAUAAAUAUUGAUAUAAAAGCAUGAUGCAAAAUGGACGUAUCAACCAUCUAUCACAAAGCCAUCUGGCUGUUCCAUAUAGAUUUCCUCAUUCAGCUCUCCAUUCAGAAAAGCCGUCUUAACAUCCAUCUGGUGGACGAGAAGACCAUGCAAGGCCGCUGUCGGUGUCAAAACCGGCGGAUCUCGGGUAGGGGGUCCCGAACUAUGCGUAUAGGCCGGAUGGUAACAGGAGGCAAGGGACACGAAGUUUUACCCAGGUUCGGGCCCUCUCGAUGGAGGUAAAACCCUAUGUCCUGCUUGAUUAAUAUUGAUGAUAUGGGUAGUACAAGAGUAGAUCUACUACGAGAUCAGAGAGGCUAAACCCUAGAAGCUAGCCUAUGGUAUGAUUGUUGUUGUGUAUGUUGUCCUACGGACUAAAACCCUCCGGUUUAUAUAGACACCGGAGAGGGUUAGGGUUACACAAAGUCGGUUACAAUGGUAGGAGAUCUACAUAUCCGUAUCGCCAAGCUUGCCUUCCACGCCAAGGAAAGUCCCUUCCGGACACGGGACAGAGUCUUCAAUCUUGUAUCUUCAUAGUCCAGGAGUCCGGCUAAAGGUAUAGUCCGGCCAUCCGGACACCCCCUAAUCCAGGACUCCCUCAGUAGCCCCCGAACCAGGCUUUAAUGACGAUGAGUCCGGCGUGCAGAUUGUCUUCGGGAUUGGAAGGCGGGUUCUCCUCCAAAUUCGUGUACCUGUUGAAUAAAGUCCGGUUUCUUGUAGAUGUUGUGCUCCUUGGCUUCUACGCACAAUAAUGGCCGCUUCCCACGUGUCAAACGAACAUGAAAAGUCUGAGUGUUUUUACAUUCACACCCCUAGCCGCGUAAAUGAGCUGACCUAUUUAAGGGGACGAGGAUUUAGAUCCAAACCACAUCUUCCCCCCUUCGCGAGUGUUCAUCAGAGCGCAUCCGACAAAGGUCCAUUCCACCAUGGCCAGCCGUCGCGACUCCUCCAUUCGCCCUUCCAGCCCUCAGCCUGGAUAUUGGGACAGAUGCUCCAUCCCGCAUAGCGAGCUAGUGACGCUCCAGACCAAGGGAUUUCCCCCCGGCCUAUAUGGUCCCGGUCCGAGCCGGCCUUGCCAUCUAUAACAGCGGAGAGCAAGCGGAGAGUGCCCCUAAUCCCUCCAAAGGAGAGCGGGUGUGCCUCGUCCCUUAUUUAAUAAGGGGGCUCGGAUUUCCAAUCCAUCCAUUUCUCCGGGGGCUCCUGGAGUUCUAUGGCCUCCAGCUACACAAUCUCACGCCUGCCUCCGUAUUGCAUAUCGCGGGCUUCAUAGCCCUCUGCGAGCUGUUUUUGGGUAUCGAGGCUCAUUUUGGGCUAUGGAAAAGGUUAUUCUGCCUUGUGCCCCGCUCUAAGGAGGGGUCAAUGUAUCAAGUGGGCGGAGCCGAAGUGUGGCGCAUCGCCGGGACUGGAUAUCUGUCCGGAACCCCAAAGAAGGCGUCCGAAGACUGGCCCUCGGAAUGGUUUUAUAUAGAAGACGUCCCGCUGCCGGAUCCUGUCCGGAUCGGCCUCCCUGAAUUCGACAGUGCUCCCUUAAAGUAGCGCCUAAGCUGGCGUCCAUGGAGCCCUCAGAGGGAAAGUGACAGGGACAUCAUUUACCUGAUGGGCCGAAUAAGAUUGUUAGCCCAUUCCGGACUAACCAUGAUCGGGGUUAUGGCCGAAUGCAUUAUGCGGGGGGUGCAACCGCUUCAGUAUAGAAGCCACCCCAUGUGGGACUUCAACGGGGAGGACGACGCCACCCGCUACGGCCGUAAGGGGCCGGAUUCAGCUGUCGCUCUACUAAAGAUCUUGUCCACUUUGUAUAAGGGAGAAGAGGAGGAAUUUCUCCUCGUCAACCCACAGGGUGGAUUCUCUAUGCACAAUCCCCCAAGCUGGGUAAGCGGUCGUAUUUACUUGCCCAUCCGUUUUGUAUUCCCAUUGUUAAAUAUUCAGUCUGACGACUUCAACGCAGGAACUGUGCCGGGCUGUUAAGGAAAUAAGCAGCCCUCCUCCACAACCCGAGGACCCAGGACGGUCCCUCGACCCGGCCUCUCAAGAGGAUCCGGACAUAUCUGUGGAGCUGAUUGAUUGAGUGUUCCAUCAAUUGAGCAAGGACAACGCCUUGGUGGCCAUUACGGCCGAUUACCCAGGGCUAAUUCCGGCCUCCCAGGUAACUGAGAUCGAAGUCCCAGUACCCCGAAUAGGUGUCCGCCCUCUCGUGUUUUCAGUUUCCUGAUUACAACUGAACUUUGCAGGGGAGGUUUUUAAGGCGGAAGGCCGAUCCUGCGGUGACAAGCCAACGAGGGGCCGCAGGGCCCCCGUGGGCAGAAAAGAAGUGCAGUCCGGACCAAGGCGUCAGCGCAAAGGUAUGGCGCGCCCCCUUAUCCUAGGUGUUAUACCUUCGAGGCACAUUGACACUCAUGCUCUCUUCAGGACAAAGAGACCUCGUCCGACUAUAUUCGGAGAGGCUGCCAAUCGCGCCUCCACCAGCCAGGCUCCAAAGCCUAGUCCGGAGGCGGAGGCGAACGCAAGGCGCGCGCCAGACGCUCCUCCGACGGAGGAUGUGGACGGGUUGUCUGCCACCAACUUUGAGGUGGAGAGUGCCAUGAACCACAGGUGUCGCCGGGCAAUUCUUCGCGACGCUUGUUUCUCCCAAGGGGCGUUAGAUGCCUUCAACUCGGGAGAUGCGUACCUCCGUGCCGCUCAAAAUGGUCUAGCCAGAGCCACGGAGCAAUAUGUAAAAUACAUACGAGUAAGAAUUUUUUUGUAAUUAUAUAUAUAUAUAUAUAUAUAUAUAUAUAUAUAUAUAUAUAUAUACCAGUAGCCCCCGAGACUUGAAACAGUUAGAAUAACUGAUCUAAGGAUCAUUUGUUAUGCAGGUUCUUACAGAAAAGAAUUCCCUACUGUCCAAGGAGCUGGAAGAGUGCAAAACCCAACUUGAGGCCGCACUAGCCGCGGCAGGGGAGCCCAAGGAGACCCCCUCUGGUAAUAUACACUUCGAAAGAUAAGUAUUUUGCGAAGCACAGUAUGGGUGCGAAUCUGACAAAUGAAAUUGCAGAUGGCGCCGGAUUGAAUCUGGAAAGGCAACACCUCCUACGCCAGCUAAAGGCUGGUGAGAAGGUGCUGACAAAGGUGAGGCGGGAGAAGAACGAUCUCCAAGAUGCCAACACCAAGCCGGGCGUCGAGUUGAAAGAUGUUCGUGCCCAGCUGUCAGACUCCGUGAAGGAGAAUCAGCGGCUUCGGCGCGACAUAUUUAGUAAGUGCUUGAACGAACCUUUGAAAGAAAGUUCGGCGGGGAAGUCGACUAAUAGAGCAAUGUCUGUAGGUGUGCUAACAGGUCAUCCUGCAAAGGAGAUGCCCGGUUCUACGGGUGACCUUCUUCCCGAGCUCUCGCAACUGUUUGAUCGAGUUCGGUAGGCGAUGCAAGGCGUCGCCCAUGCCCUGUGGCCAUCCGUCUCCAUGCCCGAAGGUCUUGGAGAGCUUGCGGAGAAGCUAAAGGGAGCACGACGGCACUUCUGAUUGUGGAAGAUAUCGACCUUCCGUCAAGGCGCUAGGGAGGCCGGGGCCAUGGUGAAGACGCGGUACGCAAAGGCUGACCCCAACCACAUGGCCGAGAUCGGUCCUGUAGGGCCUGAUGGGAAGGAGAUCCCUGUAAGCUUAGUAUACGGCCAAGUAGAGUUGGCCGCAAAGUAUUCCCAGCAGGACUGUAAAUUAGACAGCCUAUUAGAUGGUAUUGAAGAGGAAUACAAUCAGUCAAAAUGACUAUGUAAUUUAAUUGACAUUUAUAAUGCCUUCUAGUCGGAUUGUAGAUCAUUUGUCAUGGCCAACCUUUUCGCUUCAGCCUUGGGACCUGACGGUCCGGAGUGUGUCUGAAUUCCCAUGCGGUUAUAUAGGAACCGGGAAUGCAUGGAGACCAGGUGUAGGGGUCAUUAGUGCGUGAACAGACAAGUGCCCGACUAGUUAUGUUAUAUUACAUGGUUAGUAAGAAACAUCUUCCAGGGAGAAUAGUUCCGUUAGGGGUUCCUUUCCCUGGGAGGCAUGCCCUAAGGUGCAUGUCCAUGCUGCGAAAAGAAACGCAGGAAAAACAUCUGGGGGCGUAUACAUAAAAAUAAAAAAGAUCAUCUUUAGUUCACCGACCGAAUAUUCCCUUAAGAACGCUAGCUUUUGGCUUCACCCAGUCUGAGGUACACGUCCGGCUGACCCGGCAGUAACAAUCGCAGAGGUGCUCCCUUUACCACCUAGCCAAACAAUCGGGAACGUAGGGGUAAGCACAGGAGCCAGGCAACCCAGCUUGGCCAAAACUUAAGUCAUAUCGAUGCAUAUAAUGGUGAAUAAAAGGUACAUGCGGAAGUGUGACACAUGUGUUGGGCAUGAAGCCCGUAGGAAUAAGCUUCUAUUUAAAGAAGCCCCCAGGUUUAAUGAGCGUGGAUAGCGCGUCACUUUAUGAGCCUUUAAAGUCUAUAACAGAGAGAGAGAGAGAAGAAGAGAAAUGUAAGACAGAAAAUAUAUAAAAAAUGGACCAAGGAAGGAGACGAACACAGAGUCCGGCGCUAGGCGUAGAAUCUUCGGAGACGGGCUGUGUUCCAUGGGUUCGGCUCGAGUCAGUUAUCCGAUGCAUCCCGCAGGCGGUACGCUCCACCAGUCAGGACUUGGUCAAUUAUGAAGGGACCUUCCCACUUGGGCUUGAGUUUGUCCUUUUUCUUGUCCGGUAGUCGUAGAACUAAUUCGCCAACGUUGUAAUUUUUGGCCCGUACUUCUCUCCUUUGGUAUCUUCGAGCCUGCUGUUGAUAGAAUGCGGAACGGGCUUUUGCCACGUCACGCUCCUCCUCCAAUGCGUCCAAGCUGUCCUGCCGAUCGAGCUCGGCUUCUCUUUCUUCGUACAUGCACACUCGAGGUGAGUCAUGAAUUAUGUCGCAAGGCAAAACUGCCUCUGCGCCGUACACCAUAAAGAAUGGUGUGUAUCCGGUGGUGCGAUUCGGCGUGGUCCGCAGCCCCCAGAGUCUGGAGUCGAGCUCCUCUACCCAGUGCGUGUUAGAUUCCUUGAGGGACCGCACUAAUCUGGGUUUGAUGCCGCUCAUGAUAAGACCAUUUGCAUGUUCGAGCUGGCCGUUAGUUUGUGGGUGAUAGACGGAAGCAUAAUCGAGCUUGAUGCCCAUGUUUUUGCACCAGAGUUUUACCUCGUCGACCGUGAAGUUCGUGUCGUUAUCAAUGAUGAUGCUGUGGGGGACGCCGUAAUGGUGUACAACCCCGGAUAUAAAGUCUAUCACCGGUCCGGAUUCGGCCGUCUUAACAGGCUUGGCUUCUAUCCAUUUGGUGAACUUAUCCACCAUGACCAGUAAGUAUUUUUUCUUGUGGGUUCCGCCUUUAAGGGGUCCAACCAUGUCAAGCCCCCAGACCGCGAAGGGCCAAGUAAUGGGGAUAGUUUGGAGGGCGGUGGGUGGCAUAUGGCUUUGGUUUGCAAAGAGCUGGCAACCGGUGCAUCGUUGGACCAAGUCCUGAGCGUCUGCUCGGGCCGUCGGCCAAUAAAAGCCCGUACGGAAGGCCUUGCUUACAAGGGACCGAGCUGCAGCGUGAUGACCGCCGAGUCUGGCAUGAAUUUCAGCCAGGAGGUUCCGCCCCUCCUCUUUGGAGAUGCACCUUUGAAGGACUCCGGUAGUGCUUUUCUUAUAAAGCUCUCCCUCGUGGACUCUGUAGGCUUUGGAUCGCCGCACUAUGCAGCGUGCCUCAUUUUGGUCCUCGGGGAGUUCCUGCCUAGUAAGGUAGGCGAGGAAUGGUUCUGUCCAUGGGGCGAUGACGGCCAUUAUUACGUGGGCUGAAGGUGUUAUUUCAUUGGCAGAGCCUCCGAUUAUGUCAGGAUGUUCGGUGUCGGGCAGUGCGGUUGGGUCUGGGCUGUUAUUGUUCGGCUCCCCUUCCCAUACUAUGGAUGGCUUGAACAGCCUUUCCAAGAAGAUGUUGGGGGGACUACAUCGCGUUUUGCGCCGACGCGUGCCAGGACAUCUGCCGCCUGAUUAUUUUCCCGGGCUAUAUGGUGAAAUUCAAGCCCCUCGAACCGAGCUGACAUUUUUAGGAUGGCAUUGCGGUAAGCUGCCAUUUUUGGAUCCUUGGCAUCGAAGUCUCCAUUUAUUUGGGAUAUUGCGAGGUUCGAGUCCCCGCGCACCUCUAGGCGUUGAAUGCCCAUGGAUACUGCCAUCCGGAGACCAUGUAAAAGGGCCUCAUAUUCGGCUGCAUUGUUGGAGUCCGUGUACAUAAUCUGGAGUACAUAUUGAACUGUGUUCCUGUGGGGGACGUCAAAACGAUGCCGGCCCCCAGUCCGGCCAACAUUUUGGAGCCGUCGAAAUGCAUGAUCCAAUUUGAAUAUGUGCCGCACUCUUUAGGGAGUUCAGCCUCCGUCCAUUCUGCGACGAAGUCGGCCAAGACUUGCGACUUGAUGGAUCGCCGUGGCUUAUAAGUUAUGUCGAACGGGAGGAGCUCAAUGGCCCAUUUUGCAAUCCGACCCAUUGUGUCACGGUUGUUUAUAAUAUUGUUAAGUGGUAUUUUCGAGGCUACUGUUAUUGAACACUCUUGAAAGUUGUGUCGUAGCUUCCGGGAUGCCAUGAGUACCGCGUACGCAAUCUUUUGAUAAUGUGGGUACCGUGAUUUGCAGGGAGUGAGGACAGUGGACACAUAAUAGACCAGCUUUUGAAGGGGGAAUUUGUGUCCGUCCGCUUCUCGUUCGACGACGAGCAUCGCGCUUACAACCUGAUGUGUUGCUGCAAUGUAUAAUAGCAUUGGUUCGCCAAUGUUUGGCGCGGCCGGGAUUGGGUUUGUUGCCAGUAUGGCUUUUAUUUCGUCGAGUCCUGCCGUGGCUGCAUCCGUCCAUUUGAAGUGUUCGGUGCGCCGAAGGAGGCGGUAAAGGGGUAGGGCCUUUUCUCCCAAGCGGGAGAUAAAGCGGCUUAGAGUGGCCACACAUCCGGUUAACUUUUGUAUUUGUUUGAGGUCCUUUGGGAUAUCCAGUUGCGACAGAGCUCAGAUCUUGGUUGGAUUUUCUUCAAUUCCUCUACCGGAUACAAUGAAGCCCAAGAGCUUUCCGGCUGGAAUGCCGAAAAUGCAUUUUUCCGGGUUGAGCUUGAUGUCGUAUGUUCGGAGGUUAUCAAAUGUGAGCCUCAAGUCGUCUACUAGAGAUUCAACAUGUCUUGUUUUGACGACCACAUCAUCUACAUAUGCCUCCAUUGUUUUCCCGAUCUGGCUUGCCAGACAUGUCUGAAUCAUGCGCUGAUAUGUUGCACCGGCGUUUUUGAGCCCGAAGGGCAUCGUGUUGAAGCAGAAUGGGCCGUAUGGUGUGAUAAAUGCCAUUGCGGCUUGGUCUGGUUCUGCCAUCUUGAUUUGAUGGUAGCCGGAAUAUGCGUCGAGGAAACACAACGAAUCGUGUCCUGCGGUAGCGUCGAUAAUUUGAUCGAUGCGGGGGAGGAGGAAGGGAUCCUUUGGGCAAGCCUUGUUAAGGUCUUUAAAAUCAACACACAGGCGCCAGGAUUUGUCCUUCUUUGGUACCAUCACCAGGUUUGCUAGCCAGUCCGGAUGUUUUAUAUCUCUGAUGAACCUGGCCUCCAAUAGCUUUGCUAGCUCCUCUCCCAUGGCCUGUCUCUUAGGUUCGAAAAAAUGCCGAAGAGCCUGUUUGACAGGUUUGAAUCCUAUUUGGAUAUUUAAGCUGUGCUCGGCCAGCCUGCGUGGGAUUCCUGGCAUGUCUGAAGGGUGCCAGGCGAAAAUGUCCCAGUUCUCUCGUAGGAACUCUCGUAGUGCAGCGUCUACAUCAGGGUUUAACUGUGCCCCGAUGGAAGCUGUUUUAUUGAGGUCCGUUGGAUGGACUUGGAAUUUGACUAUUUCGUCUGCCGGUUUAAAGGAGGUGGACUUGGAUCUUUUGUUGAGUACCACAUCGUCCCUAUUCACCAUAGAGCGCAGCGCAGUCAGUUCCUCGGCCGCUAGGGCUUCGGAUAGUGCCUCGAGGGCCAGUGCGGCUGUCUUGUUUUCGGCGCGGAGUGCUAUGUCCGGAUCACUAGCGAGAGUGAUGAUCCCGUUAGGCCCAGGCAUCUUGAGCUUCAUGUACCCGUAAUGGGGUAUUGCUUGGAAGAUUGUAAACGCUUCCCGCCCUAGCAGAGCGUGAUAACCACUGCUGAACGGAGCCACAUGGAACAUGACCUCUUCGGACCUGUAAUUAUCCGGCGUGCCGAACACCACAUCUAGUGUGAUUUUUCCUGUACAGCGCGCUUCCUGACUAGGGAUUAUUCCUCUAAAGGUUGUGCUGCUUCGCUCAAUGCGGUUCCAGUCUAUUUCCAUUUUUGAAGGGUUUCCUCAUAAAUGAGGUUCAAUCCGCUGCCGCCGUCCAUGAGUACCUUGGUAAGACGAAAGUCGUCCACUAUUGGACUGAGGACCAAUGCGAUUGGUGCUCGGGCUGUUCGGAAUUUAGGUUCAUCACUGGUGUUGAAGGUAAUAGCCGUGUCACUCCAUGGGUUUAUUAUUGCUACUUGGUAGACUUCGGCAAGGCUGCGGAGUGUCCUUUUUCGCAUAGUAUUUGAUGCGAAAGUCUCGAAGACUAUUAAUACCAUAUUGGUGUCUCUGGGGUGGCUUUUUGUGGCCUCCAGAAUUAGGAGAUUUUCGCCAAUUUUGGCCACCUGCCGGAGUAUCCAACAUGCUCUGAGGCUGUGAGUUGGUGUGGCGUCCUCUGUACUGGGAAUUUUACAGGGUCCAUUGAGCCAUCCUUCCAGUACGGUUCCAUGCCCUGUAGAGGGUUUUUGCUUUUUAGUGCUUGACCCGGGUGUCUGGUGAUGAUGCACCCUUUUAUUUCGGACUAGGUUUGUAUUCAGGGCCGGAUUGUCCCAAAAUUUGAUUUCGGUUUUCCAGGCGCUUUCCAUCGCACAGUACUUUCGUACAAUGGACACCAAGUCAGCGAAGUGUGUAAUAUCACGGCGACUUAUGGCGUUGAGUAUUCCCUUGUCCGUGCAAUUAUUGCAGAAGAUUGAGAUUGCGUCUUCCUCGCGGCAAUCCCUUAGCCUGUUCUUAACCAGGAAGAAUCUAGCCCAGUAAUGAUGUACUGUUUCAUUGGGCUCUUGCCUGAUUUUGGAUAGAUCGCUUAUGUUGGGAUGGGUGGGUGGAAUUAAAUCUGAAGCCUCACCCCAUCUGAGGCUCAGAGGCCGAGGAAUUUCCGAACUCGAAAAUUUGGAUUCCUGGAUGUUGUCCAAUGAAUCCAGCCCGUCGCCUGACUCUAAGUUCAGGUCUUGAGUGAUAUCCUCCCCUCCACGGGUAUCCGGCUUGGAGGGAUCGGGAAUCCGGACGUAGCGAGUCCUUACGAUAGAUGAAGGGUCGUCGCGCUGUCCCUCUACCACGGCAACAUGAUGGGUGACUUGGGGAGAGUUAAUCUCUCUCAGAUCGGGUUUAGGCCCAAUCUGGUCGUAAUCCAUAGCGACUCCCAGGGCGGCGAAGCGAUCCAAGAGCUCAUUUAUGGAGGAGAGCUCCAUUGGAUCUAACUGCUCGGCGAGUUCCGAGUUGACAUGAAGAUUGUUUUUGAUGGCUCGAGAGGUCAUCGUCGGCGCAGAAGCCGAACAGGCGGUCAUAAGGAAACCACCUAGCCGGAGGGUUUGGCUGACAGCCAAAGAUCCCUUAGCAACGGUGCCGUCUUUAAAGACGGGGCGAGGCAUCCUUCCUGAUGGCGACGACACAGAGGAACUCUCAAUGAAAGCACCAAUGUCGGUGUCAAAACCGGCGGAUCUCAGGUAGGGGGUCCCGAACUGUGUGUCUAGACCGGAUGGUAACAGGAGGCAAGGGACAUGAAGUUUUACCCAGGUUCGGGCCCUCUCGAUGGAGGUAAAACCCUACAUCCUGCUUGAUUAAUAUUGAUGAUAUGGGUAGUAGAAGAGUAGAUCUACCACGAGAUCGGAGAGGCUAAACCCUAGAAGCUAGCCUAUGGUAUGAUUGUUGUUGUGUAUGUUGUCCUACGUACUAAAACCCUCCGGUUUAUAUAGACAUCAAAGAGGGUUAGGGUUACACAAAGUCGGUUACAAUGGUAGGAUAUCUACAUAUCCGUAUCGCCAAGCUUGUCUUCCACGCCAAGGAAAGUCCCUUCCGGACACGGGACGGAGUCUUCAAUCUUGUAUCUUCAUAGUCCAGGAGUCCGGCUGAAGGUAUAGUUCGGCCAUCCGGAUACCCCCUAAUCCAGGACUCCCUCAGCCGCCAACGAGAGUAAUACUCUAAUGGUGGUCAGUCUAGCCACAGGUGAAUGAGUAUCGAAGAAAUCUUCAUAACCCUUGGCCACAAGCCUAGCCUUGUACUUUUCAAUCGUACCAUCGGACCUAAGCUUCUUUUUGAACACCCACUUAAAUCCCAAUGGUUUGCAACCAUAGGGACACUCAGUGAUCUCCCAUGUCCCAUUAGCCAUGAUGGAAUCCAUCUCGCUACGGACCGCAUCCUUCGAGUAGUCAGCUUCUGGAGAGGCAUACGCUUCUGAAAUAGAAGUAGGAGUAUCAUCCACGAGGUACACGAAGAAAUCAACACCAAAAGUCUUUGCAGUCCUUUGUCUCUUGCCCCUACCAAGAGUUUCCUCGUCAUCCUCCUCGGGAUUUUCAUCAUGUGUUUGUUCAUAAUAUUCCAUAGGGAUGGCAGGUUCAGGAGUCUCCUCAGAUUUCUGUCUAGAAGUGCUUUGCAUAUCUCUCAUAGGAAAAAUAUCCUCGAAGAAUGUAGCAUCCUUAGACUCCAUAAUUGUACCGACCUUCUGGUCAGGUACCUCAUAUUUUACUACUAGAAAUCUAUAGCCAACGCUGUUCUUAGCGUAGCCCAAAUUAACGCGGUACACAGUCUUUGGUCCAAGCUUACGCUUUUUGGGGAUCGGCACAUUGACUUUCGCCAAACAGCCCCAAGUACGCAAGUACGAGAGUGUUGUCCUUCUCUUUGCCCAUUUCUCACAGGGAGUAAUCUCAUUAUCCUUUGUCGGAACUUUAUUCAGGACAUGACAUGCCGUCAAUAUAGGCUCCCCCCCACCAUGCCUUGGAUAAACCUGAUGUAUCUAAUAUGGCGUUAACCAAAUCAUUUAGAGUACGGUUUUUCCACUCGACAACCCCGUUUGACUGGGGUGAAUAGGGAGGCGUUCUCUCAUGAAUAAUGUCAUGUUCCACACAGAAGGAAUCAAACUCACUCGAGAAGUACUCUCCACCAUGAUCUGACCGGACUCAUUUAAUUUUCUUUUCAAGUUGAUUCUCAACUUCUACCUUAUAGAUUUUAAAGUAGUGUAGAGCCUCAUCUUUAGUAUUUAAAAGAUACACAUAGCAAUAUCUAGUGGAAUCAUCUAUCAAUGUCAUGAAGUAUUUCUUUCCACCUUUAGUCAACACACCAUUCAUCUCACACAGAUCAGAAUGUAUGAGUUCUAAUGGUGCCAAGUGUCUCUCCUCCGCGGCCUUGUGAGGCUUGCGAGGUUGCUUAGCUUGCACAGAUGAAAGGCACUUAGAACCUUUGGCUAAAGUAAAACUCGGGAUUAAAUCCAACUUGGCUAGCCGCGUCAUAACACGGAAACUAAUGUGACAAAGACGUGAAUGCCAAACUUCAGAUUCAUUAACAUUCGAAUGAACAUGGUUCACGACUUUAUUACAAAAAUCUGCGAGGGAAAGGCGGAAAAUCCCUCCGCUCUCAUAACCUUUUCCAACAAAGAGUCCAUAUUUCGUAACAACUAAUUUAUUAGACUCAAAAACCAACUUAAACCCUUCUCUACAUAGAAGGGAGCCACUAACGAGGUUCUUCUUGAUGGCGGGGACAUGCUGCAUGUUCUUCAGCUGCACGAUCCUUCCCGAAGUAAACUUCAGAUCGACCGUGCCAACACCAUGAACAAAAGCACUCGCGCCAUUCCCCAUUAAUACGGACCCGUGGCCUGUGACCUGGUAAGAAGUGAACAAUGAAAUGUCAGCACACACAUGUACACCUGCACCUGUGUCCACCCACCAAUCGGUGGGCUGAAACACUGAAAAAACAGUAAAUAAAUUACCGUACCCAGGUGCACCAUUCUCAUUGUUGUCCACAAUCAUGUUGAUGGAUUUGGAGUCCUGUCCUGACUUCUUGUACUUGUUUGGGCACUUGUUGGCCCAAUGUUCAACCGAACCACAAGUAAAGUAGCCCUCAUCCUUCUUGUUCUUCUUAAAGGUCUUCUUACCCUUCUUCUUAAAGUCGGUAUUGUGUUGGACACUGUUCUUUCCCUUGGGCUUGUGGGAGUUGAAGUUCUUCUGGUUCACCAUGUUGGCGACAGAAGUCCCUUCGGCCCCUUUUCCGUGCGAGUCCUUUGCCCUUGAAUUCUGCUCAACACUCAGAUGGCCAAUGACAUCCUUCACAAAGAAUUCACGCCUCUGAUGUUUCAGAGUGGUGGCAAAGUUCCUCCAGGAAUUAGGGAGCUUAGCGAUUAUGCAGCCCGGGACAAACUUGCCCGGUAACUCGCACUCAAGAAGUUCAAGCUCCUUAAUAAUGCAUAUUAUCUCAUGAGUCUGCUCCAAUACAGGAUGGUUUUCAACCAUCUUGUAAUCGUGGAACUGCUUUAUAAUAUACAUCUCGCUCCCGGCAUCGGCGGCCCCGAACUUAGAUUCGAGCGCCUCCCACAAGUCCUUGGCGACAUGCACAUGUAAAUAUGCGUCGACCAGUUUAUCUCCGAUCACGCUAAGAACUGCUCCGAGGAACACAACGGUGGCCUCCUUGAACGCCUUCUCCUGUUCAGGAGCAAUCGUUCUUGUGGAGACACCGAUGACCCAGAACACGUUCAUAGCCGUGAGCCAUAAAGUGGUCUUAGUCCGCCAACGCUUAAAAUAUGAACCGGUAAACUUAUCCAGUUUCAGUGCAGCGGCAAAGCCACUUGCCGAAAAAUUCCUACACAUAAUAGGUUUUUGGAUUGUAGAGUAAAUAGGCAAUUUCUCGAUUAAAUUAAUCCACGAGUAAAUCACUAGCAUGACAUUGAAACAAAUAAACGCAUACUGAUAUUCAGUCAAGCUAGCACAUACUAUGCUAAUUACAGAAAGAUCUACGUACAACGCUAGCAUGGCUAAAACAGAAAACAGUAGGAGCGGGAUAAACGAGUUAUACCCUCCAGUAGGCCAUGCAGAGGCUGCGGCUUUGGUGGGAGCAGCGGCGUCCUCGACGGCCUUCUUGUCGGCUUCAGCUUUCUCGGCGGCGGCACGUUCGGCGUCGGUGGACAUGGUGAUGAUGAAGGCGACACGGACGUAGAGGAAGUAGACGAUCGGAAGCGAGCCGUCGCGUAAUCGCUGCCCAAAAACCUAUUCGCCCCUCACCCCGUACAGAAACCAGAAGGGCGUGGUUUCGGAGACCCGCUCUCCCGUCGACCAUGUACGCGGCGGACGGGAUGGAGUCACAGGUGGCAGCAGCAGCAAAGAAACGACGGUGGGCGUGCGCGUGGGAGCAGAUGUGAUCUGUUCGUGGCGGCUAGGGUUAGGAGACACCGCACACUUAGAUAGGCGCAGCCGCGUGGAGAGACGUGGGCUCGACCCACGUCCGAGUCGUGGCCCAGCUGUCAGAGAACUCUCCGUUAGUGACUGGCAAAAAUAAGCGCGUAGGUGUGAGCUCGGCUCGGCUCAAUCCCGCAACCCGCGGCGCGGCGCGGCGCGGCGAGGCGUAGCGAGGCGGGCGGCGGAGGAGGAGUGCGCGAGGGCCUCUUCUCUUCUCAAGCUCCAAUAGCAUGUAGAAGAGAAACCCUUAUAAGGAGGUCCAACUCCUCUUCCACUUCCGGAGUGGGACUAAACUUCCCACUACACCUAGUGCCCACAUGGGCCCUUAGAGAUUUUUCAGAAAUUGCUAUAUGGGCCUAGAGCCCAUCUCAAAUUUCAGCACCAGAUGCAUCGUGCCAUGGAACACUCAAGCAGAGAAUGACGCCAUGAGUCUUCUGCACCACAUAGCCCACAAGUGUUCAUCAUGGACAUGUUCCGAUUAGCUCUCACAUCCUCGGUAAGAAGAGAUUGCUUUGCCAAAUGCAAUAAGAACAUAUGAAUUUUGCCAGGCACUUGCAUUUUCUAAAGGAGCUUCCAUGAGGCCGUGUCUAGAUCAUUACUUGAUGACCCUGUUGUCCCGUCGAGCCAUGCUUCCCUUCUUAUCUUUGUGUCAAUCAUCAUUCUAUAUGCCGAACGUACUAUUUUUUUUUGUUUUUCUCAAAAUGCCAUGCCCAUGAAUCUGCCAUAUUGAUGGUGCAUAGAGGAAUGCUCAGGAUAGCUGGCAUGUCCAUUGGGAGGCAAACCUCCUAAAGGCGCUCCAAGUUCCAGGUCGAGGAGUUGUGAUCAAUUAGCUCCGAGACAUAUUCCGGGGGUCGUUCGAACGACUACCAUAAAGGCGCAACAUUUCAUUACUGGAUAUCCAGUUAUCCGAUCAAUCCCUCGUGGUUUCACCAUUGCCAAUCCGCCUUAUCAAACCUUACUUUAAGACAUCUCGACCCUUGAUGUGGCUUGUCGUUGUUUAGGUUUUCGUCCGGUUUUCCUUUAAUAAACCAAGCAAUCAGGUUCAUGUACCGCCUUUCUUCUUACAAUGUACUCUCUCUUUCCAAAAAUACUUGUCAGAGAUAUGAAUAAAAAUGGAUGUAUGUAGAAUUAAAACACACCUAGAUACAUCCAUUUCUGCGCCAAGUAUUUCAGACGGAGGGAGUAUAUAACAGCUCUCCUGUGAGUGAGGCGUUUUGGCUCUUGGCCUCCAUGGAGGCCGAUUUUUUGAAAAAUUCAAAACUCAAACUUUUUAGUUUAAAAGAAUCUGGAAAAAUUGUACAAGUAAACAAGGAUGUUAUGCCUAUGUGUGUAAAAUUUCAGAACGAAAUACAUUAAAAUGUGAUCGGUACAAAAAGACAAAUUUAUCUCCUGGGAGGAUGAAUAGUAUCAUGUGUUUUGUUCUCUUUUCAGCGUACAAAAAAAAAACA